rnacentral:lncRNA from 1 species
CUCUUUCUCCCUCUACCUCUCUUCUCUCCCUUCUAUCUAAAUCCCUGCCACCACAGCCAUUAACAGCGGAGAGCAAACCCAGCGCCGCCUCUGGCUCCCUCCGUUCUCCUUCACCAUCAACAACCAGCUACAAUAACAACCACGACAACCCUUCAUCUCUGACGCCACCAACAACGGCGACAACAACCGCGCCAGUCAUAGUCGUCUCCGAUGACCUCCCCAACGAAGACAACGCCACUAACAAUGGUGCCUCACUUCUUCGUUGCUGCACCAGCCCCGUCGCCACCACCAGCAGCCGCAAACAGCAACGAGUCAGCCCCCCUCCAGCCCUUCUCAGUCAGCCAUCUAACUCCCUUAUAUACUCAUAAGGUUAUAUGUUUAUCUUAAUGAAUUCACGUUUAGAUUUAUGGAUUAGCCAUCUCCAAGUUAGCCACUUUAGGCUUUUGAUUUAUGGAUUAGCUAUUUUAAGCUCAUAUAUGAUAAGUUACAUCAUUUAUUAAUGUUGUUGGGGACUCAUAGAAAGUGAUAUCAUAAUACAUGUUGCCAUGCUCAUAAGAUCUAGAUUUUUAUUACUCUAUGGGGAAUGAAAUUUUGGAUCGGUCCAUGUUACUUUUAGCAUAUCUUAAGAUUGUGGAGAUCAUCUAUAUAAGGCAAUGAGGGUAUUCCUGGAAAAAAUUAGUUGUGUUAGAAGUCAUGCAGGUCAUGCCAUUAUGUCAUAGUUCUUAAACAUAGGAUUUUAUAGAGUUAUGAAGAUUAUGGAGAUUUUGAAAGAUUCAAGUUAUUUUAGAAUUAUAGAAUUGUGGAAAAACUUUAAACUAUUCUUAUUGUUGAACAUAACAAGAAUUGUAAGGAUUCAAGAUAUCUUAAGAACAAAGAAAAAAUGAACACCUUAUUUUAUUGAAUUUAGAAUAAAAGGGUUAAUAUUGAAGAUCUUGGAGUUUCAUCAUUAUAGUAAAUUCUCAUGUUGGGGACUCAUGAUAUUUUUAGGGCUCACGGUAAAAUUCAAUCGUUCAAUUAAUAUCCCCAAAGUGGAUGAAUUUCGUAGAUUACAUAUUUUCAUAAAGUUAUAAGAUUUAUAAUUUCGUGAGUUCAUGAUUAAGAGUUCAUAGAUAAUACAUGGAUUAAGAAAAUCAUUGAGGAGGAAGUUUACCCAUGAAAAACUAGUGCUGGAAGAAAGAGGAUAGACUUGAUUCUUGAAGCAUUUUUCUUGGAUUCUUGAGAUUUUGUAUUGAGAGGAAAAAGAAUGAUAUUCUAUUUGAUGAAAAUGUAGGGAGAGCAGUCUUACUUGUUGAAAAUGCUUAAGUUUUGGUGACUUUAAUAGUGAACUAGUGUUUAGGAGGUGAUGUUGUUGGUGACUUUAUUUGUUGAAAAUGCUUAAGUGCCGGUGACUUUAAAAGUGAACUUUUGUUUAGGAAGUGAUGUUGUUGGUUACUUUAUUUUUUGAAAAUGCUUAUGUGAUGGUAACUUUAAUAGUGAAUUAGUGUUUAGAAGGUGAUGUUGUUGGUGACUUUAAUUGUUGAAAAUGCUUACGUUUUGGUGACUUUAAUAGUGAAUUAGUUUCGUUGGUGCCUUUGUUAGUUGAAAAAGCUUAAGUUUUGGUGACUUUAAUAGUGACUAGUGUUUACGAGGUGAUGUUGUUGGUGACUAUAUUUGUUGAAAAUGCUUAAGUGCCGGUGACUUUAAUAGUGAACUUUUGUUUAGAAGGUGAUGUGGUUGGUUACUUUAUUUGUUGAAAAUGCUUUAGUGACGGUGACUUUAAUAUGAACUUUUGUUUAGAAGGUGAUGUUGUUGGUUACUUUAUUUGUUGAAAAUAUUUAAGUGCCGGUGACUUUAAUAGUGAAUUAGUGUUUAAAAGGUGAUGUUGUUGGUGACUUGACUUGUUGAAAAUGCUUAAGUUUUGGUGACUUUAAUAGUGAAUUAGUUUCGUCGGUGCCUUUGUUAGUUGAAAAACUUUAAGUUUUGGUGACUUUAAUAGUGAACUAGUGUUUACGAGGUGAUGUUGUUGGUGACUUUAUUUGCUGAAAAUUCUUAAGUGCCGGUGACUUUAAUAGUGAACUUUUGUUUAGAAGGUGAUGUGGUUGGUUACUUUAUUUGUUGAAAAUGCUUAAGUGUCGGUGACUUUAAAAGUGAAAUUUUGUUUAGAAGGUGAUGUUGUUAGUUGCUUUAUUUGUUGAAAAUGCUUAAGUGCUGGUGACUUUAAUAGUGAAUUAGUGUUUAGAAGGUGAUGUUGUUUGUGACUUUACUUGUUGAAAGUGUUUAAGUUUUGGUGACUUUAAUAGUGAAUUAGUUUCGUUGGUGACUUUGUUAGUUGAAAAAACUUAAGUUUUGGUGACUUUAAUAGUGAACUAGUGUUUACGCGGUGAUGUUGUUGGUGACUUUAUUUGUUGAAAAUGCUUAAGUGCCGGUGACUUUAAUAGUGAAUUAGUUUCGUUGGUGCCUUUGUUAGUUGAAAAAGAUUAAGUUUUGGUGACUUUAAUAGUGAACUAGUGUUUACGCGGUGAUGUUGUUGGUGACUUUAUUUGUUGAAAAUGCUUAAGUGCCGGUGACUUUAAUAGUAAACUUUUGUUUAGAAGGUGAUGUGGUUGGUCACUUUAUUUGUUGAAAAUAUUUAAGUGCUGGUGACUUUAAAAGUGAACUUUUGUUUAGAAGGUGAUGUUGUUGGUUACUAUAUUUGUUGAAAAUGCUUAAGUGCUGGUGACUUUAAUUGUUGAUUAGUGUUUAGAAGGUUAAUAGUGAAUUAGUUUAUAGAAGGUGAUGUUGUUGGUGUCUUUAUUUGUUGAAAAUGCUUAAGUGCCGGUGACUUUAAUAGUCAAUCAUUUUCCUUGGUGCCUUUGUUAGUUGAAAAAGCUUAAGUUUUGGUGACUUUAAUAGUGAAGUUGUGUUUAGAAGGUGAUGUUGUUGGUGACUUUAUUAGUUGAAAAUGCUUAAGUUUUGGUGACUUUAAUAUUGAAUUAGUGUUUAAGAGGUGAUGUGGUUGGUGACUUUAUUAGUUGAAAAUGCUUAAGUUUUGGUGACUUUAAAAGUGAACUUUUGUUUAGAAGGUGAUGUUGUUGGUUACUUUAUUUGUUGAAAAUGUUUAAGUGCCAGUGACUUUAAUAGUGAACUUUUGUUUAGAAGGUGAUUUUUUGGUGACUUUAUUUGUUGAAAAUGCUUAAGUACCGGUGACUUUAAUACUGAAUUAGUUUCGUUGGUGCCUUUGUUAGUUGAAAAAGCUUAAGUAUUGGUGACUUUAAAAGUGAAUUUUUAUUUAGAAGGUGAAUUGUUGAAACUAUUAUUGUAGUAUUUUCGUAGUCACUUUUGUUGGAUAUUUUGUAUGUGUUGUACACUUUUGAAAAUUUUCAUUUGUAAAUUUUUGUUGUUGUAUUUUCAUUUUGGUUACUGCUGUAUAUUGUUGUUGUGGUUGCAUGCAGAAUUUGGGUUUUUAAUUUUUUUUAAAUUCCCAGAAAAAUCGGCCACAAGUGGUCGGUUUUCCUAUAAUUUUUUUUUGCAAAAACCGACCACAAGUGGUCAGUUUUUCUAUGUUAUUUUUUAUUUUUAUAAAACCGACUACAAGUGGUCGAUUUUUCUAUGUUUUUUUUUUUUUGUAAAAAACCGACCACUUUUGGUCGGUUUUUAUUAAAUUCAUAAAAUUAAUCUUAUAAAAAACUGACCACACAAAAAUCGACCAUGUGUGGUCAGUUUUUAGUUAAAUUAAUAAAAUUAAUUUUAUAACAAACCGACCGUCGGUUUAUUUUUCCCUAAAAUUAUUUUUUUAUUUAAAUAAAAUAAUAACAAAUUUUAAAAAUGAAUAUAUAUAUUUAAAAAAAAACCCGACCAUUUUUAAAAAGCUACCGCUGAUUUUUCGACCAAAAGUUUUGAUCGGUUUUGUGGUCAAAAAAUAGAAAAAACCAACCACUUGUGGUCAAUUUUUGUGGUCGGUUUUUCACCUUUUUUUAGUAGUGGCUGGCAUUGGUGUAGAUAUAGCACCUUCUAGGAAGGAUAUACACCUAGAUUCUACAUGUUACAACGACUUGACUCUUGAUCAUGGAAAAUUAUUUCUUUUCUCUAGGAUGAUGCACUAGGAAUUUAACCUUUUUCUUUUGAUAAACACUUGAAGGAUGAUCUCCCCCGAUCUAUCUUUACAAUUUCUGCAACACUUUUAAAUCUUCUUUGGUUCCUUUUCUGCUAGAUAUGGUAUUUUGUUGUUGCAUAGAGAAACCCAAGGAUAUUACUUAUUGCUCUUUGAUAUGUCACUUGGGAACACACCUAUCGAACUUUAAUUGCUUAAUCCUGGGUCUACCUAUUGCCUCCCAAUCAUAUAAUCAAACUCGGCCAAAUAUAGGGCGAAUAAAAGCAACCAAAAUAUAAGUGUGCAUAAGUCUCUAGUAAGUUUGUAUCACACAAAAACACACUCCAUCAGAAAUUAAAGGCCUCAUCGACUUAGUUGAUCCACUGUAAAGAGUUUGUUUUGUAGUUCUAGCCAGAAUAUAAAAUAACGUCGGCUCAUAAGCCUUUUCACUAUCACAAUUUUCUUCGGAGGAACAUUUUGUUAUUGUGGAAGCAUGUCUUUAUACAUCAUCUUUAUACUAUACUUUUCUAUGACUUUAUACUUUUUAAGGGUAUUUUAGAGUCCAAGUUAUUGUCCAACAGCUUUCUUGCAUAAAAAUUUUUCCUAACAAGCCAUUUGGCCUAUUUUGGAGAUUGUCUUAUAGUCCAUACUCUUCUCUUGGUGUGGAAGGAGUGACUCUAUCACACCAAUAAAUUCUCCUUAAUUUUUGUUACCAUCCAUUAAAAAUAACUUGAGGAUAACUUCUUUAUUCCAAUGAAGAAGUAUAGAAUAUUUAGCCUCCUAUCAAUUUGGCACAACUUAUCCCAAGCCACAUGUGGCCUUCUUGUACUUAGUUGAAUCUGUCCAUAGAAAAUUCCUACAGAUAUUAGUAACCAAUAUGAGUAUCUUUUUAGGCAGUAAGAAGACUUGGUCUCAAUAUGUUUGCAUCUCAAAUAGGUUGCUCUUGAUCAAUUGUAGCCUCUCUCUAUAGGAUAAAAAUUUAGACAAGCAACACUUAACUCUCAUGGUGAUUUUGUUCACCGGUGGCAUGUAUUGAAUUAUAAUGAGAUUUUUUGAGGAGAAGGGCACACCCAAAUGUUUGAAAGGAAUACUCCCUAAAGUAAAGCUCACUUAUGAAGGGAUCUCAUCUCUCAAGUACAUGGGGACACCAGCUAUAUAUAAGUAACUCGUAUCCAUGUUUGAUUGAGUCUUGAGACUCUGGAGAAAUGUUCAAAUUUGUUAAGCAUAUAAUGUAUAGAGAUUUUUUCAGCCCAUAAAUACAUAAUUAAGUCAUCGGUAAAACAAAUAUGAACCUAAUCCAUUCUCUGACACUUGGGAUGAUAAUUGAAACCGAACUGCUUCCUUAGUUGUUUAAGUGACUAUUUACGUAUCCCAUUGAAAAUACAAAUAGAUAUGGGGACAUUAGAUCUCCUUGUCUAAGUCCUUUCUUAGUUUCGAAGGUAGGGGUUAGUCCAUCAUUGAUCAAGUAACUUACAGAGAUUACACAUACCAUAAUUAAGUCCACCAAAUUUUGAGGUAACCCAUACUCGAAUAAUAUCAUCCGAAGAAAUGACCACUCUAUGAAGAAAUACAUUUCAUAAUAUCAAUUUUUAUAAGGAACCUCGGCGAUAUUCCUUUCUUAGCAUAACCUUUCAGCAGAUCAUAGCAGUUACGACAAUAUUGUCCAAUAUAUUUCUACCCUUAAUAAAUAUCGAUUGUGAAGGACCAACAAUAAAAUCCAUAAUUAUUUUUAGUUUUUUGGUCAGUAUCUUGCUAUGUCAUAGUGGGGGACUUCAAUGGGCACAUUGGGGCUAUUCUGGGAGGUUAUGAUGAUGUGCAUGAAGGUUUUGGCUUUGGCGAUAGAAAUGGUGAAGAGGUUGCCCUGUCGGAUUUUGUGAGGGCCUUUGGGCUGGUGGUUGUGAAUUUGAGCUUUCCGAAGAAGGAGGAUCACCUGAUUAUCUUCCGAAGAGCUUUAGCCAAGACUCAGAUUGACUUUCUACUGCUUAGAAAGGGGGAUAGGGUUUUAUGUAAGGACUGUAAAGUCAUUCUGAGUGAGCAUAUUUCGACUCAGCACAGGCUUCUGGUGAUGGACUUAUUUAUCAAGAAGAGCAGGAAGAAGAGGGUCGAAGAGGGUCAACCUAGAAUUAAGUGAGGUGGCUUAACGCCAGUCACUGUGGUGGAUAUAGAAGAAAAGGUGGUAGGAAUGGAGGCAUGGGAGUGUAAGGGGAAUGUGGAUGGUAUGUAGGAUAAGGCUGUCAGCUGCAUCAAGGAGACAGCUAGAGAAGUGUUGGUAUUUUGAAGGGUUGGGUAGGUCGACACAAGGGAGAAUGGUGGUGGAAUGAAGAAGUUUAGAAGAAAGUAGACACUAAGAAGGGGGCAUAUGUUAAGAUGAUUGAGAGUAAAGAUGAAGAGGAGUAGCAUGUAAAUAGGGAGGAUUACAAAGUGACAAAGAAAGAGGCUAAGUUAGUAGCUACGACUACUAAGACAACAGUAUUUGAGAGCUUGUAUGCGGGGCUACAGGAGAAAGACGCAGAAAAAAGGUUAUAUAGGCUUACUAAGGCUAGGGAGAGGAGGGGUCAGGACCUAAAUCAAGUGAAGUGCAUUAAGGAGGAGAACGGAAAAGUUUUGGUGGAGGAUGUUCAUAUCAAGAAGUUAGGGGACAGAGGCAUUAUGUUAGGAGAGAUGAAGCGCUCUGAGGAGAGCUGUGACUUCAGUUACUAUAGAUAUUUUAACAUUGAGGAGGUAAAAGAGGUUAUUCAUAGGAUGCAGAGGGGUAGGGCGAUAGGGUCGGACAAAAUUUCAGUGGAUUUUUGGAAAUAUGCUGGUGGUACAGGUUUAAGGUGGUUGACUGAUUUGUUUAACAUUAUUUUUAAGACUGCGAGAAUACCUGAGGAUUGUAUAUGGAGUACGAUGAUCCUAUUAUACAAAAACAAAGGUGAUGUUUUGAGUUGCAGCAACUAUAGGGGUAUUAAGCUAUUGAGUCACACUAUGAAGAUUUGAGAGAGAGUGGUCGAGCAGAGAUUGAGGAGGGUCGUAUCCAUUUUGGAGAAUCAGUUUUAUUUUAUAUCGGGUCACUCGACGACAGAGGCAAUCCACCUGGUGAGAAAAUUGGUAGAGUAGUAUAGGGNNNNNNNNNNNNNNNNNNNNGCAUAUGGUGUUCAUCGACUUGGAGAAGGCAUAUGACAAAGUCCCUAAGGAGGUUCUUUAGAGAUGAUUAGAGGUGAGAGGUGUUCCGGUGGCGUACAUCAGAGCUAUUAAGGACAUGUACGAUGGAGGGAAGACUCGGGUGAGGACGACAGAAGAUGACUCAGGGCAUUUUUUGGUUGAGACAGGAUUGCAUCAAGGAUCGACUCUUAGCCCUUUUCUUUUUGCGUUGGUAAUGGACAUGUUGAUGCGAAGUAUUCAAGGUGAGGUGCCUUGGUGUAUGUUAUUUGCGGAUGAUGUAGUGCUGAUUGAUGAGACACGAGGGUGUGUGAAUGAGAAACUGGAGGUUUGGAGGCAAAUCCUAGAGUCUAAGGGGUUCAGGUUGAGUAGAUCCAAGACAGAGUAUUUAGAAUGCAAGUUUAGUGACGUGAGUCAGGAGGACGAAGUGGUGGUGAGGUUAGAUUCACAUGAUGUUUGUAAGGGACAGUUUCAAGUAUCUUGAGUCUAUGAUUCAGGGGAAUGAUAAGAUUGAUGAGGAUGUCUCUAAACGUAUUGAGGCAGGGUGGAUAAAGUGGAAGCUCGCCUCCGGAGUGUUAUGUGAUAAGAAGGUUCCCCUUAAGCUUAAAGGAAAAUUCUACAGAGUGACAGUUCGUCCGACCAUGCUGUAUGAAGCGGAGUGUUGUCCAGUCGAGUACUUUCAUAUCCAAAGAUUGAAGGUAAAGGAAAUUCGAAUGUUGCAUUGGAUGUGUUGACUUACUAAAGAGGAUAGAGUUAGGAAUGACAUGAUUUGAGAGAAGGUGGGAGUGGCUUCGGUGGAGGAUAAGAUGCGAGAAGAAAGGUUGAGAUAGUUUGGGUAUGUGAUGAGGAGGGGCACGGAUGCCCUGAUUCAGAGGUGUGAGAUGCUAGCUUUGGAUGGCUUUAGAAGGAGUAGAGGUAGGCCGAAGAAGUACUGGAGGGAGGUGAUUCGAUAUGACAUGGAGCAGCUACAGCUUACUGAGGACAUGACCCUAGACAAGAAGGAGUGGAGGUCACAAAUUAGAGUGAGUGUGUGGAUUGUGGCAAGGUGUUAGGAGAUCGAUUGGGUAGUCGGGCAGUAAUCCUAGGCUUGUGUCCUUGAGUAGGGGCCUUUAGCUAGGUGAGUUUGGGUGGGGUGGGUGAGUGUUUGUUACUAGGACUGUGUCCUUGAGGAGGAGCCUCUGGUUUGUGAAUGUAGGUUUCUACUAGGUGGUGUCCUACUGCUUAUUUCUUAUUUUGAAUUGCUUGUACUUUUCUUUUUCGUACUUCUCUGAUAAUUAUCUCUAUUAUGUCUUGUUUCUGUAUGCCAUCUUUUCCUGUUACAUAUUUUUUUACGAUCUUGGUGUAUUAUUCUCCAUCUUGAGCUAGGGGUCUAUCGAAAACAACAUCUCUACUUCUUCGGAUGUAGUGGUAUGGACUGCAUACAUCUUACCCUCCCCAGACCUCAUUUUGUGGGAAUACACUGGGCUUGUUGUUGUUGUUGUUGGCCAAUAUCUUGCUAUAAGUUUGUAUACAAUAGAACAACAAGUAAUGGUUUAGAAGUCUUUAGUGUUUACGGGGUUAAUGACUUUUGGCACUAGUGUAAUAUUGGUGUAAUUAACUAUUUUUAAAAAUUUAUCAUUUUUGAAAAAUUGAAAAACUACAUUGGAAACCUUAUCUCUCACAAUAUGCCCAAAUAUCCUAAAGACUUUACAGGAUAACCAUCUAUUCCUGGGGCUUUAUCAUCUGACAAUUCUUUAAGUACUCCAAGUAUAUCCUCUUUAGCGACAGAACCAAGCAAUUUCUUUUGUUGUGCUAAGGACAAGCAUGGGCCAUCCCUUAAAAAUUUAAUGUUUAGGCAUGGGAUUUCAAUUGCAACUUCACCUUGGAGUUUAUAAAAACAAAUUGCAAAAACUCUUAUUGCACUAGUAUUGGAUCAGUCAAUUUCACAUUUGACUCAAUAUAAAUUUUUGAUAUUCUAUUCUUUUGAUAUUCUAUUCUCAAGAAAGGGGCGUAUGCUAAGUUGGUUGAGAGUAAGGACGAAGAAGAGAAGCGGGCAAAUAGAAAAGAGUACAAGUUAGCUAGGAAGGAGGCUAAGUUAGCAGUUACGGCGGCUAAGACGACAGCUUUUGAGAGCUUGUAUGCGGAGUUACAGGAGAAAGAAAGGGAAAAAAGUUAUUUUGACUCGAUAAGGCUAGGGAGAGGAAGGGUCGCGACCUCGACCAGGUGAAGUGCAUUAAGGGGUAGGACGACAAAGUGUUGGUGGAGGACGGACACAUUAAGAAUAGAUGGAAGUCAUAUUUUAAUAGGCUUUUGAAUGAUGAAAGGGAUAGAGCUAUUGUGUUAGGGGAGCUGGAGAACUCAGAGGAGUGUUGGAAUUUUAGUUAUUGUAGAUGUUUUAAGGUAGAAGAGGUUAGAGAGGCUGUCGCAGGAUACGAAGGGGUAGGGCGACGGGGCCUGAUGAGAUACCGGUGAAUUUUUGGAAGUUUUCUGGCGAGGCUGGUUUAAGGUUCUUGACUGGAUUGUUUAACGAAAUCUUCAAGACGGCAAAAAUGCUCGAGGCUUGGAGGUGGAGUACUAUGAUCCCUCUUUAUAAGAACAAGGGUGACAUUCAGAGUUGCAAUAACUAUAGGGGUAUUAAGUUAUUGAGUCACUUUAUGAAGAUUUGGGAGAGAGUGGUCGAGGUGAGGCUGAGACUGAUAGUGUCUAUUUCGGAGAACCAGUUUGGAUUUAUGCCUGGCCGCUCGACGACGGAGGCAAUUCACUUGGUACAGAGGCUGGUGGAACAGUAUAGGAAAAAAGAAGAAGGACCUACACGUGGUGUUUAUCGACUUUGAGAAGGCAUAUGACAAAGUACCCAAGGAGGUGCUUUGGAGAUGCUUGGAGGUGAGUGNNNNNNNNNNNNNNNNNNNNNNNNNNNNNNNNNNNNNNNNNNNNNNNNNNNNNNNNNNNNNNNNNNNUUUUGGGGGGUUGGGUUGGGUUUGUUGGGGGGGGGGGGGGGGGGGGGGGAAGGAUAGGGGGUGUGAAUGAUAAAUUUAAGGUGUGGAGACAAACUCUUGAGUCUAAAGGGUUCAGGUUGAGUAGGAGCAAGACAGAGUAUUUGGAAUGCAAGUUUAAUAACGUGAGGCUGGAGAAUAAGGUGGUAGUGAAGUUAGAAUCAUAGGUGGUAUGUAAGAGGGAUAGUUUCAAGUAUCUCAGGUCUGUGAUUUAGGGUAACGGUGAGAUUGAAGAGGAUGUCUCGCAUCGUAUUGGGGCGGGAUGGAUGAAGUGAAAGCUCGCUUCAGGGGUGUUGUGUGAUAAGAAAGUGCCUCCCAAGCUUAAAGGCAAAUUCUACAGGGUGACAGUCCGUCCGGCCAUGUUGUAUGUAGUGGAGUGUUGGUCAGUUAAGAACUCCUACAUUCAAAAAAUGAAGGUGGCGGAAAUAUGGAUGUUGCGUUGGAUGUGUGGGCUGACUAGGGGGAUAAAGUUCGGAAUGAGACUAUCAGGGAGAAGGUUGGUGUGACUCCAGUGGAGAAUAAGAUGCGGGAAGUCCGAUUGAGAUGGUUCGGACACUUGAUGAGGAGGGGCAUGGAUGCCUUGGUUCGUAGGUGUGAGAGGCUAGCUUUGGAUGGUUUUAGGCGGGGUAGAGGUAGGCUGAAGAAGUACUGGGGAGAGGUGAUUAGGCGGGACAUGGAGCAGUUACAGCUCACUGAGGACAUAACCCUAGAUAGGAUGAUCUGGAGGACGCGAAUUAGGCCAGAAGGCUAGGGUCGGUUUGGGUCGCUAGUGUAGGGAUUUACUUUACUUGGUGGGGGGUCUCAUUCUUGUUAUGAUACCUUGUUUCAUGCUUUGUUACGAAUCUGUUUACUUUUCUCUGUUUUCUAUUACUUGUGGGUGUCGUAUCUAUGUUAUGCCAUCUUGUUCCAUGCUUUACUAUGUAUUUGUGUAGUAUUCUGUGUCUCGAGUCGGGGGUAUAUCGGAAACAUCAUUUCUACUUCUUUAGAGGUAGAGGUAUGGACUGCGUACAUCUUACCCUCCCCAAACCUCACUAUGUGGGAAUACACUGGGUUUGUUGUUGUUGUAUUCUUUGAUUGCUGGCUCUAAGGUGAGCAUAAAAAAAUUUAGAGUUGGUGUCUCCAGCAGCUAUCCAGGUUUCUCUAGAUUUGUAACACAAAAUUUGCUUUUGUAUGUUGUCCCACCUUUGAAUUUGUGCCAACAACUCCUUUUCCGCAGCUAUCAAUUCGUCAUUGGAGAAAUCCUCAUUAAGCUCAUCUUGUACCUCUCUCAUCUUUAUCCUUAAUUGUUUUGGCGUUUUUUCUAAUGAGUAGUCCUUGCUCAUUCCACUAGCUUUUGUUUCCAGCUUCUUUAAUUCUGUCCACACCACACACAUCAUAUUCCCGGAGAUGUGUUGGCUCCAGGUUCUCUCCAUUGUUUGUUAAAAAACAUCCAGAAAGUGUAGGAUAUUCAAAAGUAUGAAAGGUCUUUUUUAUUGUUGUAGUGGUAGUUAUUAAAUAAUAUGGGGGAGUGUUCAGCACACCCGGGAUUCAUAAAAUUAGAUUCGAACUGCCCAUAGUGGUGAAACCAUUCUAUAUUUCCCAAAAUCCAAUCAAUUCAUAUACAUAUAUAUAUAUAUAAUAUUUCGGGAUGGAGAACAAGGAUUAACAUGCAUUUUAAAACCUAAGUCUUAAUUGUGUAGCUCGACGGUCAUAACAUACAUAGGUACCCACGGGAUAUAUGGCACCAGAUCUCCGCAAACUUGUAGUGCCCAAGUGUGUGUUGCUGCAUGAACUAGAGGAUGUACAUGUGCACUAUAGGGGAUUCAAACUUCCCGUCAUAUCAGGGUGACACUAGCACUAAAUCAUGUAAUACAAUGUGUGGGACUUGUGACUCCCAAGCCUAUGCAAAUAAUCAUAAUGAGGGUGACUCGAACCACCCGAUCAUAUAGACCCCAGCGUCAAAAAUUGUAGUUCCCAAUUUUUGCCCCUAAGGACAACCGCUUUCAUGAUUCAACUACACAAUCAUCUUUAAAGACCAAUUAAAACAUUUAACACACAUUACCAUAUAUUGAACCAUGCUACACAUUUAGGCAAACAUUGUCAAUAUUCUCAUACCACUACACUUGAAAGGUAACAUCAACAUGCUGAACAAUUAACAUCAAUUGGGGGAAUUCACAACACCCUUAGUUCAAUUAGGAAAUAGCUUUUGAAACACCAACUCAGAAGGUUCAAUUCAACAUCAUCACGCAAUUGUUCAAAAACAGUUAGAUUCCCCUAUUUUUUAGAACUGAAAACAAUUUUACAAUAUAAGGUUUGAGUUAUAACAACUUCAAAAGUCACAAGUUGGGGAAAUCACAUUGCCUUAGUUUAUUAACCAUACCCAUGUACCCACAAGUUUAAAACCAUUGUUAAAACCUAAGAAGCUCAGAAUUUUAGUUGGAAUCGUGGGUCUAGGCCACUUCUUCACCACCAAAACAUUUUUUAGGUUCACUAUGAGGCCUUAACUAGAAACAACAUAUCCCAAAUAAUUCACACCAUUCAUCAAAAACUCACACUUAGAGAACUUAGCGCUGAUCUUUUAGGGUCUGCAACACAAGGCAGAGGUGAUCAUCAUGACCUACCUCACUCUUGUAGUACACUAAAAUAUUAUCCAUAAAGACAAUCACAAAUAGAUCAAAUAAGUGAUGGGAAACUCGAUUCAUGAAAUCUAUAAACGUCUUCAGGUGAUUCGUCAAACCAAAGAACAUCACCAAAAACUCAAAGUGACCAUAACUAGUUCAGAAGGCACUCUUAGGGAUAUCUAUCUCCCUAAUCUUCCACUGAUAGUACAUUAAAAAAAUCAAUAUUAAUAUAGAACAUAUCACCCUAAAGAUGAAUGAAGAAAUUAUCCAUCCUUGAAUAGGGAUACUAAUUCUUUACUAUCACCUUAUUCAGUUACCUAUAAUCAACACACAUUUUAUAUAUAGUAAAGUAAUAUUCUUUAUCAAUAUUUUGCACAGUGAAAUGGUGUGCCGCCUCAAAUGGAUCUGGAUUGUUUUAGCUUCUUUUUUUGUUUAACCUUUUUCUUAUUAUUACUUUUCUUAUUCAAGGGUGCUUUCUUAUCCUUGUUGAUAUUGCGCUUGCACUCACUAGGCAGAUGCCCAAAAUCAUAAUACUAUUAACAUAAUUAGGGAAGUCAUUCAUAAUCAAUAUCUUACUCCAUGAUACUUCUAUCCUAUUUCUUGAUAAGUAAUACAUUUGUCAAAGGUUUACGUGAUGUUCAUUUUUAUUAGUAUUCGAGCAUAUGACACCCUUUCGUGUCAAGACAUUAAUUUGUUAGUGCAUACCUAAAUAACUUGGUGUGCAUCCCAAUUUCUCACAGUUUAAAAAUACAAGGUAAGACUAGGAAGGUUACCCAGAUUGACACCACGCUCAUAUGCAUGCUCAUUGUCUUGUUGGAAGUCAGGAGACCAAUUCUUUAAUAUCAUAUCGAUCUGUUGUAUGGUUCAUUCUGCAUAAUCAUGUCUUUAUCCUCCUUAGUUGUAAAUCAAAAGAUAAAGUAUCCAUCAUCAUGUAGAAAAUAUAUGGGGUUGACAUCAUAUUCCGUACACCAUACACAAAUGUUAACAUUUCUUUGAACGUCGGGAUACCCCCCAGUACAUACAUAAUUAGUGUCGAUUGCCAUUGCUCACACUAGUUUUGCAAUUCCUCAUGGUUGAGUGCAACUACCUUCACGUCUUCCUUCAUGGUUGGGGGAAAGAAAUCUAACUGUAGCCCAUAUUAUUUUGUCCUAUUUUUUAAUUACAAUCUCCACCAUAGUUGGAGUAUGCCUAGCAGUGAAGUCCAUCUUGUGAGCUACAGCUUGUAUAGCAGCUGGUCCCACUUCGACCUCUUUAUGCUCCUCGUAAACACCUACCCAGUCUUCUUUGUGGAUUGGACCUAGGGCAAUCUGGGGAAAAAUUCAGAGGCCUCAGUGGGAAUGUGGUCAUCAUCGAGUUGUGUUGAUCUUCCUUCCAUCUUUAAUCCUGCAGAGUAGAUACAUGAGUUGAAAAUCCAAAUUUAACACUGUUCAAACUUGGUAUUCAGUCCUCUAGCUGCAUAUGUGAGAGUGCGAAGUAUUUUUGAUAAGAUUUACAACAACUUUAAGGAUAUUUCUUAAUUAUAAUCUUAGGAAAAAUAUUGUUGAAAGUUCUAAUAGAAAUUAAAUAAAAAGUAUUGCAAUAUGGCUGGAAUAAUCAAUGAUGCAAGGCAUUUGAGUUUGGCAAAUAGGGUACUUGGGUUAUUGGAGGAAAUUUUGUACAAUCAGUAUUUCUUUUCAAAUUGGUCAUGCUUAUAAGGUAUGUGAUGUUGUUUUAUAUUUAUAUUUUUAAUGGAUUUAUUGUGGUAAUUAAAGCAUCAAACCCCUCGGUGUAAAAGAAGAAGAUUCCAAGAAAUGAUAUUCCGCUAAGUAAAUUUGACUAGCAGAUGAUAUAUUUGUUGUGGCCAUUUUUCAAGUGAAUCUUAUGGAUAAUAUGCGGAAGGUUGGGUGUUAGAACUUUGCGCUACUAAGCAACAAAGUUAAAUUUGUAUUUUACGCCCAAGUUGAAGAAGAAGAAUGAUAUUUAUACAUUGGUGAUUCUAGAACUACCAAUUCUUAGAAUGAAAAAUAAAAUCUUAUUAUUAAACUCACAUAUGAAAAACCAUUAAUAUUAUUCAUUAAGGUGGUAUAAAUGCUGAACUAAUUUGGUGUUUAUGAGAUUACUUAGAAAAAAUUGGAUGACAACUUUAUUUGAGUUUGAUUAGGUAUUGAGAAGUACAAUUUUUUUGUGGAUGAUAGUUGGGAGUCAUGAUUUUGGUAGUUCUUAGUGUUUUUUUAAGUGAUACAUGAAAAUGUUAAUACUUAUAUUUAUUUUAUUUAUUAAUAUAAUUUAUGAAAAAUGAGAUUUAUAAUCUACUAGUUAACUUAUCUGAUAUCAAGAUAUCAAGUACUCUUCAAAUAUCACAUGAUUGUAUAUAUAAUUCUAUGUAAUAACCUGAUUUGUAGAAUUUUUUCUUUUUAUGUGUGUUUUUACUUUUUUUACUAUUCUGUAUUUGCUACAUCUUGAUUUUAGGAGUUGUAAAUAACUUGCACAGUUCUCGAUGCAAUCGAUUAGGGGAGAUAGUGAUUUUUAGAGGCUUUAAAAGACAUAUAGCUGACUUCAGUCAUCAUUUGAUAUUCUGAGUGCUGAAUGCAAAUUAGACAAUUAUGUUAGGUCUGAAACGUCGAAUUAAGAUUAGUAGAGGGGAUGCUUUGGGUGUAGAGCCUUUAGUUAGCAUUUGGACCCUUAAUUUGAAAAUCUAGUGAAAUUUCCUUAGAGAGACCCGAGAGGGGGGGGGGGGGAUUUAUUGAAAAUACUAUUUAUUUAAAAAAAUCCAACAUCUACAUUGAGUUUGAAACAUUGAAUGUAUUCACGGGAUUUCAAAUAAAAACCAAGGGUCCGAUUGAAAAUUUAGUUUUAUUGCUAAGUUGUUGGUGCUAGGCAUCAACUAAUGUAGCCACUUAAGCAGCCAAUCGAUUGCUAAAGUAGAAGUAGUUGCUUAAGUGCCAUUGGAAUGCAAAUUAGACAAUUAUGUUAGGUCUGAAAUGUUGAAUUAGGAUUAGUAGAGGGGAUGCUUUGGGUGUAGAGCCUUUAGUAAGCAUUUGGACCCUUAAUUUGAAAAUCUAGUGAAAUUUCCUUAGAGAGACCUGGGGGGAGGGGGGGCGGAUUUAUUGAAAAUACUAUUUAUUUUAAAAAAUAAAACAUCUACAUUGAGUUUGAAACAUUGAAUGUAUUCACGAGAUUUCAAAUAAAAACCGAGGGUCCGAUUGAAAAUUUAGUUUUAUUGCUAAGUUAUUGGUGCUAGGCAUCAACUAAUGCAGCCGCUUAAGCAUUCAAUCGAUCGCUAAAGUAUAAGUAGUUGCUUAAGUGCCAAUGGGUUUCUAAAGAGGAAGCCGCUUAAGUGCUAAAGCGUCACUUUAGCGGUGACCGAUUUAGCGGUUGUUUAGCCUCUAAAGUGGUCAACUGUAUAUAAACCCCAUUACACGAUUUUUCACUAUUUUUGAACUUUGAGCUUUGGAUUUGAGCGAUUUUAGUUUUUUCAUCACCAUUUGAACUUGAAUAAGUUCCAAGACCUUAAUUUCAUUACUUUGCGUUGACUUAUGUCAUCAACACACUCUUUAGUCUUGGUUUUAACAUGGUAUUUUGAGAAUUUUUUUGAAAAAGAUUUAAAAUGGUUUUUCAUUAUUUUGGACCUUGUAUUAAAAUUGUUUUCAUGUGGUUUUUCAAUUAUUUAUUCCUCUAACUUUGGAGAAUGUAUUUCUAAAAUAAAAUUUCAGUUUUACCCUUUUAUUUUUGAACUCUUAUUUUCAAACCCGUUUUGAACCCUACUCAAUAUGGGCAAUUGACACGACUCGACCCGGGGCCUUGUCGUAAUGCGCGUCCCAAGUUCGACCAAAACCGAAGACCACCCUCAUUACCUAACCCAACUUCUAGCCGCCUAUCCUCAGUUGGAUGAAUUUCGAACAUAUUACAAGAUAGCGUUAUUGUUCAUUUCAAGACUCUGGGAUAGGUCUAUCACUGAGACCAAUCCAACCAUGCCCAACCAUACCGAACCUAUCAGAUAACCAAACCAUAGCCAUAAAUCAACAGUCAAUUAAUAACCAAACCAAGUUUCAUAACAUAGCAUAAAACGAUAGAACAACAAACACUAUCGUCCAAGGAUGUAAGCCCCAACACAAUGCCAAUGCUAAGGCUGACACCCAUACCGAUCCCGCCUAUUUCAACCCAUAGCAGUACCACAAAGCCUUUAACCAAAAGAGUAAUAAAGUCUGGUUGGGACAUGUCCCCAACCAUAGGCAAAACCAUAAUCCAAAAAAAAUCCAAAGUAUGAAAUAACAUCUAUGAACUUCAAUUCAACGACUGAACUGAGUAUCCGAAUGGUAAGCAAGGGGAGUAGAGUGUCCGGUUCCUGCAUAGCAUGGGUAUACAACCAUCCGAAGACGGGUUAGCGAGUGAUCGCUAGCAUGAACUCAAGAUAUGAUAAAAUAAUGUCAUUUAUAAAACCAAGUACAAUUAUCCAUAAUGCAUACAACCAUACAUAUAUACAUAACCAUGCCGAGAAAGGGGAACCGUGCUUAGCAUGCAUUUAAAACCUUUAAUUGGGUUGUGUAGCUUUGCUGUCCUAAACCACCCGCGAGAUAUAUGGGUUCAGAUCUCCCUACUAGCAGGGCCCCAGUGUGUGAAGCAACACGACUAGGGAAAAAACCUGGGAUGACUAGUACAUCCCCUAAUAUAUAGUGUGACAUCAUGCACACGGUCACCAAGACCAAACCUCACAUAAAAAAAUAUGAGUUUCAAGUUUCGAUCUCCCCGGGACCUCCACCUUCCUCGGCUUUGCUACACUUCAAUAUUUAAGCCUAAUUAAAAUCAUUUUCCAACAAACCAAAUCAUUAUCCAUUUAUUAACCAAGGCUAUUGUAACACCCCAAUUUUCUGAACUGAAAUGCUACACGGUGCUUAUGACCCCGAAGGACCACAAGCUAACCCAUGACUAAUAUCUGUACCUGUAUACUGCAUAAUAUAACAUAAAAAUAUGGAAACAUAUACUAAAUGGCCAUAAGGUUCAACUGAAUAAACAUCUGAUAAGAACAAUGUCUGAAAAUGGUAUAACUAUACCAAAACAAAUCUGAAAUAACUAUCUGACAUGCUAUAGUCUGGAAAGCCUCUAAAAUGUCUAAACAAGGAAUUAAUGGGACAUGUACCCAACUAACUCCAACUACUGAAAUAAACUUAAAAUUGAAAUAGUAAUGAAAUCAUCGUGUCCUCGAAAGAUGAGGACUUACUUCUAACUCUGACUGCUGUUACUGGAAUCUAUUACUGAUUUGGAGCUCGUGCCUCUGAACCUAUGGUGUAGCAUAAGAGAAAGCACCAUAGCACAGAUGCGUCAGUACGAGUGAAUGUACUGAGUAUAUAAGUGAGGUAGGCUAAAUGUAAAGGGUUAUAUGCAUGAACAAUGCUGACUAAUAUGAACGUGAGAAUACAUACAUGCAUAAGCAACUAUAGUUGAACUCGUGGUGAUACUGACUACUGAGUCUGAUUACUGACGACAUAACUUUACUGAUACUGAGGUACUAAAUAGAUGAAUAACUAUUUUGGACAGUUCGAAUUAUAAAGAACUGGUCUGAUUGACUAUGUUUAACAGUUCUGAAACUGAAUACUGAUAACAUAGCUAUGAUGACUGAUAUAAUUGAUAUAACUGUGAUGAUCGGCGUAACCGAUGUAACUAAUGCUGAGCGAUUGUAUCUGACAAUCUAAGUCAUGAUAUUAUGAAGAACUAUCUGAGUCUAUUACUGAAACUAAGACUGAGACUGAAACUGAGACUGUGUGAGGUAAUCAUCUAACUGACAUGCUCCGAAACUGAACUAGUUGGGGUCCAACCUGUAACCCCAGUUAGAAGGGUGUCAAUACCGUACCACGGGUAAAAAUAACAUGUGAGUAAACCCUAUUCUAUUAUGGAGCUCAUUCCGUCUGCCCUGCUAUCAGUUAAACUCAAAGGAGAUGCAUUAGCCCUAUGGGUAGGGACAUCUCAACCUACUCUGGCUACGUAGUUUUAGAAUACAAGGAUUGCUUCUAGGAAUCACACCCUCUGACUGUGAUAGGUGAGUCCCCAUCCUUGGGUUCGCUCGGUGUUGAAUCCUACUCCCAACUGAAAGACACUGAACUGAUUUGCUGAACUGAACUAAUAAACUGAACUGAUGUUAGUGGGAUUGUUUAGCAAAGCUAAACUGAGUUUAUGAGAGCACUGAUCUUACUGAGUAUUGAGUUCUUGAAAUUUCUGAGAGUACAGAAUUAUGGAGAUUAUUGAAGUUACAGAGAACACUAGAAUUUCUAAAAUUUCCGAUAUCACUAAGUAUUGAGACUACUGAGAUUAGCUGAGAUUAACUGAGUUACUGAACUUUCCUAAGUCACAUGACUGACUGAGUUCUAUGGAACAUGACUUGACUGAGAGCAUCAUGAAAUCAUGAAAUGGCUUUAGGCACACAACUAUAUUUUUUGGGUACAAGUACCCCCAGGACUCGAUGGAAGGAAACUGACACACAUGACUGACUUGAUCAUAAAAGUAGAGUCCAAAAUUCACAAUAUCAUAAGUAGGGGAUUUCAUACUAUACAUGAAGCUCAACUUCUUAUACAUGGAAUGGAAUGCAUACAACAUGAAUAUACUUGCAUAGCUUCAAUAUCAUGCUCAUUCCAUAUCACAACAACAACACAUAACAAUAACGUGAAAUUCAUGUGAAAUCAUAGAGCAUAGAACGUGGACUUGUUAUUUAAACAUUAUUGAAUCAUGGGACAUGAAUUCUAUCAUCCUAGGAAUUUUAUCAAACAACUUACAUGCACCACUUUGGGCAUAGAUUUAUUCAUGAAUUCAACAACCCAUAUCACCCAAAGUUCAUAUAUUUCAACUAACAUGCCAUCCUAGUUUCAUACAAAUCCAUAAAGAUUCUAUCUUGACAUCAUUCAACACAUAAACAAGAUCAACAAUCAAAUCAAAAUACAACAAACAUGGCAUAUAGUUUAAAAUAGGGUUCUUGGACUUCAUGGACGAAAGGAGUCCAUGAAUGAACACACGCAUACCUUAGUUCUUGAUUUAGUGAAGAUUGACGGAGAGAUUCUUAGAAUUUGAUGUUAGAAUUUGCUUGAACUUGAAUCCCCCAAUUGAAACCCUAAUGUAUUAUUGAGAGGAUUUUGAUGAAAAAGUGUAUGUUUUGAUGAAAUAAUGGCUUAAUUCUAUGUUUGGGAGCUUAUAUAGGGGUGGGAAGAUGACCUAAAUACCCCUCUAGAUGCAUCUUUUAUUUUCUAUAAAAAUUUCUCGAUUUGGGCCCCUGGCGCGACACGAAGACAUCGCGUUGCCAUUUUUUUAUGAUGUGGAAACUAACCACAAUAUGGUAAAAUUACGGAGAGACACUGGAAAUUGACAAACGUCAUUUUGUCUUAUGGCGCGAUGCGCCACAGACUUAAAUCACACUGCUGAAACUUUAAAUCGCUAUAACUUCUUCACUGGGUAUCCGUUUUAGGCGAAUUUGGUAUAGAUGGAAAGAUUAUUCAAUUAUCUACAAUUUGGAGAGUAUAAUUCAGCUAAAAUACUAUCUAUAAACCAAGUUAUGCUCAUUCAAAGAUGACCUAUGUGAAAUAAUACAUGAAAAUUUGGUGGAUUCAAAAGUUCUUAGCUUGGCUUACUCUAAGUGACUCUUAUGAACAUGCUUAACAUAUCAUAAGCUAUAUUAUCACUAGGAUACUCAUCCUAACUCAUGUACUUAAACAUGAAUCAUAGGAUAGGAGGUUUCAUGCGUAGGAACAAUGGUUUAUUUUCUAGCAUAGAAAUAUAUGGGGUAUUACAAUAUCUCCCCCUUGGGAACAUUCGUCUUUGAAUUAGACUAACUGAGAGAGGAAACAAUAAGCUAAACAUGAGAUAAACAUGAAUGACUGAAACAUGAUCUCAUGAAUGAUGUGACAAAUAAAAUGAUUCAUACUGAACAUGCAUAUCUGAUGCAUGGGUAGUUGAUUUAUGAAUGAAGGACUGAGUUCUCUGAUGAACUAAGUUUCUCAGAAUGAGAAGGCAUAUUUGAUGCAGAGAUUGAUAAGAUAAAUCCAUGCAUAUCUGAUGCAUGAUUAUAUGACUGACAUGAUAUAUGAAUACAUGACUGAAAGUACUGAUAAGUUGAUUACGCAUAUCUGAUGCGUGAGUACACGACUAAACUGACUCAUGAACAUACGACUGAUUAUGCAAUGGUAAAGAUACCAAGUUUGAUCUAAAAAUAGAGCAUAGAACUGAAUACCAAGUUUGGUAUUGAAACUUGAUCAUGAGAACAAGUAAGCUCAAAGAAGACUGUUACCUUGAGCUGAAAAUACUAAUAAGUUUGAGAUCAAUCACUCGAUAUGUAUGAGAGGGAAUAUGAGAACAUAAUUGAGUCUGGAACAUGAUGCAUAAACUGAACUAAGUCUGUAUUGCAUGACAUGGAUAGGGUAUCGUGAAAUGAACUAAGACAUUGAGCACAUGACUUACUGUUGAGUUUUGGAGUUAGAGGGUCGGCUCAUAAGUAACACUUCCUCCAAGAUAGAUUCAUCAAAGAAAAUGGCAUGUUUAAAUCAUGAAAGUUUGGGGGCUAUAGUGUAUCUCCCCCUUGGGACACUAUGUCCCUUGAAGGAUGCUGGCUGACUUUGCUAAGAUAUUGAGAAAGUUGAGGCAAUGCACAAGACACCUAGGUAUAAAAUCAUGAUUGAUUAUCUGAGAUCUGAAACUGAGGCAUGACACAUGAACUGAGGUGAUUACUAGACUGAAGCAUACAUCAUAACUAAUAUUGUAACUAGGACUAAUACUAGAACUGAAUAUUGGGUAUGCAAGACUGAAUUGUGGCUGAGUGUCUGGAAUCCAUGUUUGAGACAUGAUACAUAAACUAAGCUGAGCUUGCAUAUACUAGUAUGCUCUAUCUUUUAGAUGGUUACAUCCUCGAGAUGUCCAUUAGUAUGGAUGGAUGGAAAGAUGGGAGAACAACCCUUAGCAAAUUUAAUUGCAUAUCUGUUAAACUGAUUUUCUAACUAGACUGACUAACUUAUGCUAAUAACUGAAAACUGGGAAUGAAAGACUAAACUGAACUUGGUCGAAAUAACUAAACUGAGACUAUCGAAUAUUGUACAUAUGACGUAAGGAUUAACUGAGUACCAUGAGGUGACUGAGCAUGGAUUCAUGGAGACUGUAUUACUUGAAAAUAAAGUACUACGCAUGUAAUAUGAUUUGAAAAGAUUUGGUAAACUGAGGUACUAACAAAUAAGAAAGAAACUGAUAGUUGCAUACUAUGGCAUAGCGAAUCUAAGACUGAACUGAGUUUUAGGGCCUGAUUACUAAACUGGGACAAAAUGCUGGGUUUGGUUAACUAAACUUUGGGAGUCUGAAACUAAUGCAUGAUACAUGAGCUGAACUGAACUUACAACUACUAGGAGGUUCUACCUUGGAAUAGUUACAUUUUAUGAGAUUUUGGAUAGCAUGAAUAGAUGCAAGGAUGAGAAAACAAACCAUAUAAGUCUGACUGCUCAAUUUCUAAACUGACUUGCUGAUUUUACUAACUAAAUCAUGUUGAAACAUAAGCUUGAAUGAGAGAAAGAGAUCUAACAAUACAUACCAUAAACAUGAAAAACUUGUAACAUACCCAAAUCUAGGUUAGGGAAACUUUCUGGAUCAUGACGGGUCUGGAGUCUAUUUUGUUGCUGACCACUCUUGGUUCCUUGCUGACAUAGCUAUUUACCCCUCUGUGAUAUAACUAUAAAGUCUCGCAUCUUGUGGCCUGGCUUAUCACACCCAAAGCAUAUAUCACUGCCUGCCUUACGCACACGCUUAUGAUGCUUACCACAAUUCUGACAAAGAGGUUGGGUAAGAACUUUGCUCUUGCUACCCCCUAACCUCAAUUGAGAAGGACUGUAACUACCUGUGCUAGCCCUCUUAUUUUCUCUCUCUUUCUUUUUAAGCUUAUGCUCCUUAAUAUUUUGAGCAUAGACCAUCAACCUAGACAAGUCCAUACCACUAAUCAACAUUGCUGUCCAGCACUCCUUAACCACUCUACCUGAUACCUCAGACACAAACUUAUUCAUUCUGGACAUACUGUCUGCCACUAUAUGGGGAACAUACCUGGCUAACUUGGUGAAAUUAAAGGAGUAUUCUUUUACGCUCAUCGUACCCUUCUUGAGAUUGAUGAACUCUAACACUUUAGCCUCCUUCUGCUCUAUGGGAAAGAACUUAUCUAAGAAAGCUGCAACGAACUCUUCCCACUCUAUGGGCUCUGUAUCUAUACCCCUGUCUACCUUGCACUUUUUAAACCACGUAUGGGAUACAUCUUAUAGCUGAUAGCUGACUAACUCUACACUCUCACUGGAAGUCACUCCCAUAAUGUCUGUGAUAUUUUGAACCUGAUUAAGGAACUCCUAUGAAUCCUCUUCGUACUUAGAAUCGGUAAAUAGAGGAGGAUUCAUGCGAGUGAAAUCUCAAAUCCUAGAUGUAGUAAUAUUGGCCUCUGGAUCGGUUGGAACAACGGUUGGCCAUUCGUUCUGAGCUAUAACUAAACUGGAUAGAGUAGUGAAUGCAGUCCUGAAUUCUGCAUGAGAGACAUGCUCGUCCAGGGAAUCUACUUAGAUGGUUUGAGGUGUUGACUGACUGUUGGUUCUUCUUUCACUAGUCCUUUCUGAAGACAUGUUCUGUAAAAGAAAGGAAGAAGUGAAUUAGAUUGAGAGAUUAAUUAGAGCUUUUUCUCACUAGUAUGACAUGAAUACUGAAAGAAGGAAAACUGUUCCUAAAACAUCUCAUUGCCUCCUACACAUAAGUGUGGUGAACAACACACGCAUGUACAAAACUCUACUAGAUGCGACUGUCAGACUUCCUAGGACUCUAUUAAACCUUAGGCUUUGAUACCAACUUUGUAACACCUCAAUUUUUUAAACUGGAAUGCUACACGGUGCUUAUGACCACGAAGGACCACAAGCUAACCCAUGAAUGAUAUUUGUACCUGUGUAAUACAUAAUAUAAUAUAAAAAUGCAGAAACAUGUACUGAAUGGCCAUAAGGUCUAAUAGAAUAAACAUCUGAUAAGAACAAUGUCUGAAAACGGUAUAACCAUACCAAAACAAAUCUGAAAUAACUAUCUAACAUGCUAUAGUAUGUAAAGCCUCUAAAAUAUCUGAACAAGGAGUUGAUGGGACAUGUCCCCAACUAACUCCAACUACUGAAAUAAACUUAAAACUGAAAUAGUAAUGAAAUCAUCGUGUCCUCGAAAGAUGAGGACUUACUUCGAACUCUGACUGCUGUUACUGGAAUCUAUUGCUGAUUGGAGCUCGUGUCUCUGAACCUAUGGUGUAACAUAAGAGAAAGUACCAUAGCGCAAAUGCAUCAGUACGACUAAACCAAGUUUGUAACACCCCAAUUUUUUGAACCGAAAUGCUAUACGGUGCUUAUGAACCCGAAGGACCAUAAGCUAACCCAUGACUGAUAUCUGUACCUGUAUACUGUAUAAUAUAACAUAAAAAUGUGAAAACAUGUACUGAAUGGCCAUAAGGUUCAAAUGAAUAAACAUCUGAUAAGAACAAUGACUGAAAAUGGUAUAACCAUACCAAAACAAAUCUGAAAUAACUAUCUGACAUGCUAUAGUCUGGAAAGCCUCUAAACUGUCUGAACAAGGAGUUAAUGGGACAUGUCCCCAUCUAACUCCAACUACUGAAAUAAACUUAAAAUUUAUAUAGUAAUGAAAUCAUCGUGUCCUCGAAAGAUGAGGACUUGCUUCUAGCUCUGACUGUUGUUACUGGAAUCUACUGCUGAUCUGGAGCUUAUGCCUCUGAAUCUAUGGUGUAACAUAAGAGAAAGCACCAUACUGCAAAUGAGUCAGUACAAGUGAAUGUACUGAGUAUACGAGUGAGGUAGGCUAAAUGUAAAGGGUUAUAUGCAUGAACAAUGCUAACUACUAUGAACGUGAGAAUACAUACAUGCAUAAGCAACUAUAGCUGAACUCGUGGUGAUACUGACUACUGAGUCUGAUUACUGACGACAUAACUUCACUGAUACUGAGGUACUGAAUAGAUGAAUGACUAUUUUGGGCAGUUCGAAUUAUGAAGAACUGGUCUGAUUGACUGCGUCUAACAAUUUUGAAACUGAAUAUUGAUAACGUAGCUAUGAUGACUAAUAUAAUUGAUGUAACUGUGAUGAUCAGCGUAACCGAUGUAAUUGAUGCUGAGCUACUGUAUCUGAUAAUCUAAGUUAUGAUAUUCUAAAGAACUAUUUGAGCCUAUUACUGAAACUGAUGCUGAGACUGAAACUGAGACUGUGGGAGGUAAUCAUCUAACUAACAUGCCCCAAAACUGAACUGGUUGGGGUCUAACCUGUAACCCCAGCUGGUAGGGUGCCAAUACCAUGCAACGGGUAAAGACAACAUGUGAGUAAACCCUAUUCUAUUAUGGAUUUCAUUCCGUCUGCCCUGCUAUCAGGUAAUCUCAAAGGAGAUGCAUUAGACCUAUGGGUAGGGACAUUUCAACCUACUCUGGCUACGUAGUUCUGGAAUGCAAGGAUUGCUUCUAGGAAUCACACCCUCUGACUGUGAUAGGUGAGUCCCCAUCCUUGAGUUCACUCGGUGCUGAAUCCUACUCCCAACUGAAAGACACUGAACUGAUUUGCUGAACUUAACUGAUUAACUAAACUAUGUUAGUAGGAUUGUUUAGCAGAGCUAAACUGAGUUUAUGAGAGCACUGAUCUUACUGAGUAUUGAGUUCUUAAAAUUUUUGAGAGUACUGAAUUACAGAGAUUACUGAAGUUACAGAGAACACUAGAAUUUUAGAAGUUUCUGAUAUCAUUGAGUACUGAGAUUACUGAGAUUAGUUGAGAUUAACUGAGUUACUGAACUUACCUGAGUCACAUGACUGACUGAGUUUUAUGGAGCAUGGCUUGACUGAGAGCAUCGUGAAAUCAAGACAUGGAAAUAGGCACAUAGUUAUAUUUUUCGGGUACAAGUACCCCCAGGACUCGAUGGAAGGAAACUGACACACAUGACUGACUUGAUCAUAAGAGUAGAGUCCAAAAUUCACAAUAUCAUAAGUAGGGGAUUUCAUACAACACAUGAUGCUCAACUUAUUAUACAUGGAAUAAAAUGCAUACAACAUGAAUAUACUUGCAUAGCUUCAAUAUCAUGCUCAUUCCAUAUCACAACAACAACACAUAACAAUAACGUGAAAUUCAUGUGAAAUCAUAGAGCAUAGAACGUGGACUUGUCAUUUAAGCACUAUUAAAUCAUGGGACAUGAAUUCUAUCAUCCUAGGCAUUUUAUCAAACACCUUACAUACACCACUUUGGGCAUAGGUUUAUUCAUGAAUUCAACAACCCAUAUCACCCAAAGUUUAUAUAUUUCAACUAACAUGUCAUCGUAGUUUCAUACAAACCCAUAAAGAUUCUAUCUUGACAUCAUACAACACAUAAACAAGAUCAACAAUCAAAUCAAAACAUAACAAGCAUGGCAUAUAGUUUAAAAUAGGGUUCUUGGACUUCAUGGAUGAAAGGAGUCUAUGAAUGAACACACGCAUACCUUAGUUCUUGAUUUAGUGAAGAUUGACGGAGAGAUUCUUGGAAUUUGAUGGUAAUAUUUGCUUGAAUUUGAAUCCCCCAAUGGAAACCCUAAUAUGUUCUUAAGAGGAUUUUGAUGAAAAAGUGUAUAUUUUGGUGAAAUAAUGGCUUAGUUCCGUGUUUGGGAGCUUAUAUAGGGGUGGGAAGAUGACCCAAAUACCCCUCUAGAUGCAUCUUUUAAUUUCUGUAAAAUUUUCUUGAUUUGGGCCCUUGGCGCGACACGGAAACAUUGCGUUGCCACUUGUUUAUGACCUGUAAACUCACCGCGAUGUGGUGGAAUCAUAGAGAGACACUGGAAAUUGACAAACGUCAUUUUGGCUUAUGGCGCAAUGCACCACUGACUGAAAUGACACUGCUGAAACUUUAAAUCGCCAUAACUUUUUCACCGGGUGUCUGUUUUAGGCGAAUUUGGUAUCGACGGAAAGCUUAUUAUAUUCUCUACAAUUUGGAGGGUAUAAAUAUGCCAAAAUACCACCUAUAAACCAAGUUAUGCUCAUUCAAAGAUGACCUAUGUGAAAUCACACAUGAAAAUUUUGUGGAUUUAAAAGUUCUUAGCUUGGCUUACUCUAAGUUACUCUUAUGAACAUGCUUAACACAUUAUAAGCUCUAUUAUCACUAGGAUACUCAUCCUCAUUCAUGUACUUAAACAUGUAUCAUAGGAUAAGAGGUUUCAUACGUAGAAACAAAGGUUCAUUUUCUAGCUUAGAAAUAUACGGGGUAUUACAGCUAUUAAUAUUUGUAUUGUCAUAACAACUAUCACUUGCAAGUAUUGUCGUUAUCCAAACCUUUUAGUGAUCGAGGGAUUGCUAUGUACCAUAGAUCAUACUAUCCAAUUUAGUUGGGGCGAUUCCCAUGUACCCCACAAGUAGGUUUAUUAUUCCAAACUAUUCCUUUAAACCAUUACAAACCAUGAAAGUCAUUUAGGGUUCCAUUACCAAGUUUAAAAUAUGCAUAAGUUCCAUUAAAAAACCAAUAACAAAGUGAAAACAUUGUUUAGGCAUUUUAUCAAACACAUUGUGGGCAUAGUAUUUCCAAAACCAAUUCCAAUCACCAAUAACCAUUCCCAUACAAUCCAAUUACCCAAAACUGCCAUUAAAGCAUAUGAAAAGCAUAAUUAAAGCUUAGGAAAACCAUAACCAAGCAUUUAUAAAUAAAACCACCAAAUCAUAUUUGAAAACCUAAAUCAUACAACAUUUAAACCAUGAAAACAAUGUAUAAAACCAUGUCUUUAGUUAGAACUAACAAUGAGGAAAGAGAACAUGCCUUAAUUAAGUAGUUAUUAGAGAGAAACCACCAACACAAGCCAUAGAUUAAGCCUUAAGAUGAAACCCUAGCCUUCUUUGUCCAAGAACUUUAGAGAGGAUUUAAGAGUGUUUUCCUAACUAUUUAAGAGUAGAAUAGUACGGAAAAGAACCUUCUAAAGGCCAUAUAAGUCAUGGGACUUUAUUAGAAUAAGUGGGGAAAUAUCCAAAUUGCGCUUACUUAAACUCUAUGAAAUCCCGUAAGGUGGGUACGACCAUCCAUACCAGUCAUACCCUCCGAUAUGAGUGGUACGCACCACUCGUACCCAAGACCACCUCCCUUAGGCCCAAUACUAUCCAAGGUAUAACUCAAUAUAACCCAAGUCGUAUCUGAGUGUACAACUAGUACCCAUAAAUUGUACCCCUUGUAGAAUGGAAUCCCGAAGGUUUGAACACUAACCACCAUACAAGUCCUACGUACGUCUCAUAGCCUAGCUUAAGGCUUAUGGAGAUCCACUCAUACUCAAAUCCAACUUAAGUUACCAAGUUUAAAAUUAAGUGAAGUAACUAAACAACUCGUAUCCACUGGUACGACUCGUACCAUCCAAGUCGUAUCCAUUACAGAAAUCAAAUCCACCCAACCAACCAACACUGGUCAACAUAUGACUGAAACACACCACCCAUACCCCAAUGUACGAUUCAUUCCCCUAAGUCAUAUCAUGCCUAUACACUAAAAAUCAAAGAAAUUUUCUAAGGUCCAGAAAUCUGGGUGUUUUAGUCUCUCCCACUAGGAACAUUUGUACCCGAAUGAGGGACAAUGUAGGGGUAACCACAUGCACUAGUCAUUUGCAUUAUCAAACAUUAAUCCAACCUUUAGAUGUCUCUACUCUUACCUUUAAGACAGGAAAAAAAGAUACAAGAGAAUCAACCUUUCCUUUAACAAACUUAGAAAAUAAAGAUGUGCUCAGGAACUUAUACCUUCCGCAUGAAUACUAGGAGCAGAAGACAAAUACAGAUAUUUGGACAUUAUGCACGCAUCUGCUUCCUAUGUUGCCUCUUCUACCUUAUGGUUGCCCAUAAUCCACGAACCUUUUGAUCUAAUAUCUCAGCUGGGACCUCUUUAUAAGAUAGAGAAUCUGAGAUACCCAAUCCCUUCAAAGGAAAAAUCGAAGAAGAACCACCAAGACACUUUCUCAACAUAGAAACAUGGAAUGCCGAAUGAAUGAAGCUCAAGCUAGAAGGCAACUCUAAUUCAUAAGAAGCAUCAGCAACCCUCCAAGAAACCAUAUAAGGACCAAUAUAUCGAGGACUGAGCUUUCUCAUUUUUCCAAACUGCAUCACUCCCUUCGUGAGAGAUAUCUUGAGAAACACCCUAUCCCCAGCCUCAAACUCCAAGUCUCUAUGCCUUACAUCCGCAUAGGACUUUUGGUAACUUUGGGUAGCCUUAAGCCUAUCCCAAAUCACCUUCACUUUUUCUAUUGCCUAGUAAAUCAAAUCAGGACCAAACAUACCGCAUCACCAAGCUCAAACCAACCAAUAAGAAAUAUAUACCUCCUACCAUACAAUGCCCCAAAAGAGGCUAUACUAAUACUAAAAUGAUAGCUAUUGUUGUAAGUAAACGCUACCAAAGGUAGAUGCUCGACCCAAUUGCUACCAUAAUUAAUCACGUAAGCCUGAAGUGUAUUGUCCAAUGUCUAAGUAGUCCUCUCUACCUAUCCAUCCAUCUGAGGAUGAAAAACAGUAUUCAGAAUAACCUUAGUACCCAAUCCUUUUUGAAAAGAACACCAAAAAUAAGAUGAAAACUAUGUACCAUGAUUAGAAAUAAUCAAAAUAGGUACCCCAUGCAGCUUUACGAUCUCCUAAAGGUAUAACUUUGCAUAGUCCUCCACCAAAAAAAUAGUCCUUACUAGUAAGAAGUGAGCAGACUUUGUCAUCCUAUCCACCAUGACCCAAACUGAAUCAUAUUGAUUUUGAGACCGAGGAAGACCGAUAAUGAAAUCCAUAUUGAUCACCUCCCAUUUCCAUUCGAGAAACUCAAUCUCUUGAUACAACCCACCAGGUCUCAUAUACUAAACCUUAACCUGUUGGCACAUCAUGCACUUGGCCAUAAAACCAACCACAUCCCCUUUCUUGCCUUUUCACAAAUAUAUUUCCUUGAGAUCAUGAUAUAUUUUCAUAUAGCUGGGAUAAAUAACUAGCGCGAUUCAUGCGCCUCAGCUAAAAUCCUUUAUCGUAACCCAUCGAUGUUAGGAACACAUAACCUCCCUUGGUACCGUAAAGUACCAUCGCCACUGAUCUCAAAUACCAUUACCUUUUGCCCACCAAUAUUACUCUUGAUUUUCAUUAAGAUAGGAUCUAGCACUUGCUUCUCCUUAGCCUCUGCACCAAGAAAUGAACAAACCAAAUCCUAUACCAUCACACCAUCAUCCUUGGAGUCCAAAAGGUGAACUCUAAGUUAGCCAAAUAAUGAAUAUCCUUCUCCAAUUCCCGCUUUCCUUUCUCCACAUGAGCCAAACUUCCAUGGACAACCUGCUAAGACCAUCAACAACCAUAUUAGCCUUACCUGGGUGAUAGUGAAGACUCAUAUCAUAAUCCUUGAGAAGCUCCAACCAACUCCUCUGCCUAAGAUUAAGCUCCUUCUAAGUGAACACAUACCGUAGACUCUUAUGAUUAGAAAAGAUAUCCUUGUGAAUGCCAUAUAAUUAAUGUUGCCAUAUUUUUAGAGUGAAAACCAAUGUUAAAACUCCAAAUCAUAAGUAGGAUAAUUCCUCUCAUGCACUUUCAAUUGUCUAGAAGCAUAGGCAAUCACCUUCAUAUGAUGCAUCAAAACACAACUAAGGCCCACCCUAGAUGCACUACAAUAAACCAUAAACCCAUCAUUACCAUCUGGAAAAGUCAAAACCAGAGCUGAAGUUAGCUUUUCUUUAAACUUCUCAAAGCUCCCCGCACAAGUAUCCGACAAAAAAAACUUCACCUUCUUCUGAGUCAACUUAGUCAAAACAACAGUUAUACUAAAAAAAACUUUCCACAAACCGCUGAUAAUACCCAUCAAAACCCAAGAAACUCUGAAUAUCGAAUAGAGUUGUGGUUCUAGGCCACCUUUUACCACCACAAGCUUCUAAGGAUCCAUCAUGAUUUCUCCACAAGAAAUAAUAUGACCUAGAAAAGUCAUAAUGUUCAACUAAAACUCACACUUAGAGAACUUGGUAUACAACUACUAUUCUUUCAAGGUCUGCAACACUACACAGAGGUGAUUAGCAUGAUCAGCCUCACUCUUCAAAUAAACCAGGUUGUCAUCAAUAAAUACAAUGACAAAGAGAUCCUAGAACUACCUGAAAACCCUUUUCAUCAAAUCCAUAAAUACUGCUAGAGAAUUCGUCAAACCAAAUGACAUAACCAAGAAUUCAAAAUUCCCAUAUCGUUUACGAAAAGCCUUCUUAGGGAUAUCCACCUCCCUAAUCUUAAGCUGAUGCAACCUAGACUAAACAUCUAUCUUCAGAAAAGAACUUAGCACCCUGCAAUUGAUCAAAUAAGUCAUCUAUCAUUGGGAGAGGAUACUUGUUCUUGAUCGUUACCUUAUUCAACUGCCUAUAGUCAAUCAUAUCUAAAAGGAACCAUCCUUCAUCUGCUUGAACAACACCGGUGCACCCCAUGGAGACAUAAUAGGACGAAUAAACCCCUAUUCCAGAAGAUUGUUAAGUUGCUCCUUAAGUCUCUCAACUCAACCAGAGCCAUUAUAUAAGGUGGAAUAGAUAUUGGAUGAGUGUCUAGAAAUAAAUCAAUACUAAACUUAAUUUCCCUAUCUGGAAGAACACUAGGAAGAUCAUCUGGAAAGGCCUCGAGAAACUUAUUAACCACCAAAACUCACUACAAAAAAGGACCUUCUGAGUUUUAAUCAUUAACCCAAACCAAAUAAUAAAGACAACCUUUAGAGAUCAAUCUUCGAGCUCUAAUAUAAGAAAUAAAUGUUUCCCUAGGAGCUAGGGAACCACCCUUCUAUUCUAUAAUCGAUUCACUAGGGAAUUUUAAAAUAAGCUUACGGUUCCAACAAUCUAAGGAUGCGUAACAAGAGUGUAACUAAUCCAUCCCUAGAAUUAUAUCAAAAUCCACCAUAUCCAAUUCAAACAGAUCCACCAGGGUCUGCUUGCUACCAAUCGCUACCACACCCCCUAUAGACUCUCUUAGCAAUAACCGAGUCACCUACUAGGGUAGAAAUAGAAAAAGUAUCCAAAAUAACCUCAGGAUAAAAUUAAUACACAUAGCCACAUAUAGGGUUGCAUAAGAAAGUGUAGACCCUAAAUCAAGUAAACAACACACAUCAUGAGAAAAGAGCUGUAACGUACUAGUAAUGACAUCAGGCGAUGCGUUAGAUUCUUGCCAAGAUACAAAAAAAAAUAAUUUAUUUCGGCCAACACAAGAAACAGGAGCAGUAACAAAUACAGAAGCAGCACCACCGGGUGCAAGAGAAGAAGAUGAAACCUUAUUUGCUCCCAUAGCCACCUUAUUAAAUGGACAAUUCCUAAGUAGAUGGCCUAGUUGGCCACACUUAAAAUAUUUAUCCCUCUUUUCAUUACAAUAACCUCAUUGAGGAUGACUAUAAAAAUAAUAAGGAGGAAAUAAAGGAAUCGAUUGGCCCCUGCUUGCUUGAGAUUAGGCACCCUGUGCCUGGAAAUUAUCACUACUUAACGGAUGCCUGUCACCUGACUGUUUCGGGUAAAGAGCAUUUAAAGUAGAGAAGAAACCAGAACUCCCAUUUUUUUCUUUUUCCAUUUACCUCCAUAUCAACUUUUUUGCUGCUGAGUACCACCCUGCUCAGAGAGCUUACCUAUUUUACCAUUCCUAUCUUCGAACUCCUCCUGUUUCCUUUUUUUUUCACUUGCUGUAUAUGAAUAGUCAACCUAGAAAUGUCCAUAUCCUUAAUUAGCAAGGAAGUCUUGCUUUCAAUAUCAAUUCUCGAUUCAGCCUAAAAAUAAACUUCCUUAUUCUUUCCUUUACGUCAACCACCAAAUGAGGAGCAUACCUUGACAGCUGAUGAAAUUUCAAGGCAUAUUCCUUGACAAACAUUCACCCCUAUUUAAGAUUCACAAACUCCACCAUCUUUUUCUUUUUUAAAUCUUAAGGAAAUAAAAAUCCAAGAAGGCAUUAGAGAAAGCCUCACAUAAUUUUGGUUCCUCGACCUCACCUCUAUCCCUAUCCCACUCAUCAUACCACUGAUAAGCAAUAUAUUUGAGAUGAUAAGCUACAAAGUUUACCCCUUCCACAUUAGUAGCAGGUAUAACCCUAAAUAUCUUCUCCAUCAUAUCCAAGAAAGCCUAAAGAUCCUCCUCUACUUUCUCUCCAGUAAAAGUAGGAGGACUUAUCUUAAGAAACUAGACAACCCUUGGGGCCUAACUAGACAAUCCACCAGACGUAUCCCUCUCAGCUUGAGCAACAACCAACUGAGCAAUAACAUGAAUCUACUUGCAAAAUUUUACAUUAGUUACCUUACCUUAAGAAGGACUAGUAUCAACUGGUGGAACUCUAGAACCAUUAAGGAUAGGACCCUGAGAUUAAAGAUGAACUUAAAUGUAGAACGUACCCCAUCAACAUUACCUGCAGAUCUACAAGGCAUGAUUUGAAAAGGGAACAAUCAAGGAUUAGAGAAUAAUCUAGGACUUAGACUCCAAGCUUGAAAAUAGAAUACUAAGAAAGUAAAACAUUUCUAAAUGCUCUGUAGCCUCACUCUUAUGAGUGUGGCACACUACACACACCUAAACGAGACUCUACUAAACACGACUUUGUAGACUCUCAAUUGACUAUGAACCUAAAGCUCUGAUACCAACUUGACACGAUCCAACCUGGGGCCUUAUUGUAAUGGGAGUCCCACAUCUGACUGAGACCAAAAACCACCCCUGUUAUCCAACCUAACCUAUAGCAUCCUUCCCUGAGUUGGCCAAAUUUUGAAUAUAUAAUAAGAUAGCAUUAUUAUUUAUUUCAGGACUCUGGGAUAGGUCUAUUACCGAGAUCGACUCAAUCAAGACUAACCGUUCUAAACCAAUCCGAUAAACAAACCAUAUCCAUAAAUCAAUAGUCUAUUAAUAACCAAACCAAGUUUUAUAACAUAACCUAAAAGGAUAGGAAAACUAAUAAUAUUAUCCAAGGGUGUAAUCCCCAACACCAAUGCCAUUGCUAAGGCUGACAUCUAUAUAGAUCCCACCCAUUCCAACCCAUAAAAGUACCAUAAAGACUAUCCAAAAGAGUAAUAAAGUUUGGUUGGGACAUGCCCCCAACCAUUACCAAAACCAUAAUCCAAAAGAAAUCCAAAUUAUGAAAUAACAUCCAUGAAAUAGAGCCAUCCAAAAAGCUUAAAGCUCACCACUUCAAUCUAACUACUGACCUAAGUAUGUGAAUACUAAGAAAGAGGAGUAGAGUGAUCGGUUCCUGCAUAGCAUCAGUAUACAACCACCUGAAUAUAGGUUAGCGAGUUAUUUUUAGCAUGAACUCAAUAUAAAGAUAAAAUAAUGUCAUUUAUAAAAACAAGUAUAACCAUCCAUAAUACAUACAACUAUAUAUAUAUAUAACUAUGCUGGGAAAAGGGAAUCAUGUUUAUUAUGCAUUUAAAACCUUUAACUGGGCUCUAUAGCUUUGCUGCCCUAAACUACCCACGGGCUAUAUGAGUUCAUCUCUCCAUGCUAAAAGGCCUAGUGCGUGAAAUUGCACGACCAAGAAAUAGAAUCGAGGAUGAUUAGUAAAUCUCUCAAUAUAAAGUAUGACAUCAUGCACAUGCUCACCAAGGCUAAACCUCACAUCGGAAAAUAUGUGUUUCCAGUUUUGAUCCCUUCGAGACCUCUACCUUCUAUGGCUUUGCUACACCUCUCCCUUUAAGCCUAAUUAAAACCAUUUUCCAACCAACCAAACCAUUAUUCAUUUAUUAACCAAGGCUAUUAAUAUUGGUAUCACCAUACCAACCAUCACUUGCAAGUAUUGUCCUUAGUCAAACCUUUUAGUGAUCUAGGGAUUCCCGUGUAUGCAUAGAUCAUAUUAUCCAAUUUAAUUGGGGGAUUCCUAUUACAUCCUGGGUUUUUGGCCUUAGAAAUGUUUUUUGAAUUCCCUUCUUUAGACCCAAUAUGACACAUGGGUACGAGCCAUAUGUUGGGGUACGAGCCAUAUGUUGGGGUACGAGUGGUAUGGUCCUUUCGUAUACUGACUAGUGUUGAUUGAUGGGUCUUGAUGGUUAUUGUAAUGGAUACAAUUAAGGGAAUAAGAGUCAUAUGGUUUUUUAUGAGUCGUAUCUUGUACUUGUAUAGAGGUGAGUAUUUAGGCCUCUUGGUAUUCUAUUCUUCUAGGGGUGGAAUGAGUCAUAUAAUGGACAAUAUUGGGUCCAAUGGUUGAGGUAGGAUAUGAGUUACAGUGCCACUAGUAUCGAAAGGGUAUGACUUAUAUGGUUUAGUCAUAUCCCUGUGAUAGAAUUUCGUGCUACUUAAGUAGGGGUAUUUUGGACAUUUUCCUACUUACGCUAGUAGGACCUCAUGACUUCUAACCUACUUGGAAGAGUAUUUACCCUAUUAUUUUACUCUUUAACACUUAGAAACUAUUCCUAAACACUUCCUAAUUCUCUCAAGAGCAUUUGGGGCAAGAAAGCUAUGGUUUCAUCUUGAGGACUAAUUUGGGGCUUGCUUUGGUGAUUUCUUUCCAUCAGUUCUUUGAUAUAAUGCAUAUUCUCUUCCCUCAUUGUUAGUUCCAACUAAAAGCAUGGUUUUCAUCAUUGGUUUCAUGAUUUCAUUAUUGUAUGCUUUUAGUUUUCAAAUAUCAUUUGGAGGUUUUGUUUAUAAGUACUUAGUUAUGGUUUCCCAUGGUUUUAAUUAUGCCUUUAUAUGCAUUAAUGAUGGUUUUGAAUAAUUGGAAUACAUGGAAUGGUUAUUGGUAAUUGGAAUUGGAUUUUGAUAUAAUUAUCCCUUCAAUAGGUUUGACAAAAUGCUUAUAAAGAUAUGUUCAUUGCAUUGACGUCUUUAGAAUAGAACUCCUACGUGUUUUUAAACUUGGUAAAAGAUUUAUGCAUGGUUUAAAUAGUUUAGAAAGGUAAAUGGCUAAAUAAUUAUGCUUUUGGGGUACGGAUUCCCCCAAGAGGUUUAAUUUGGUAAUUGGAAGGGCACUUGAAAGUCCCCUUAAAUUUACAUAUGGUUGGCUAUGGAUAGUACUUGCAAGUAUGGUUGGUAUGAUGAUACCACCACUAAAUGGCCUUGGUUAAUCAAUGGUAAAUGAAUUGAUUAGAAAUAGUAUUAAUUGAGCAUUAAAGGGGGAGGUGUAGCUAAUCCGUGGAAGCAGGAGGUCCUGAGAGGACCAAAAUUGUAAACACAUAUUUGUCGGUAUGAGGAUGGUCUUUAUGGACCAUGUACAUGAUGUCACACCUCAUAUUGGAGGAUUUACUAGUCAUCCCAUGGUAUAUUUACCUAGUCGUGCGGCUACAUGCACUGGGGCCCUUUCAGUAGGAGGAGCUGAACCUAUAUUGCCCGUGGGCGGUUUUGGACAGUAAAGUUAAACAACCUAGGUAAUGGUUUUAAAUGCAUGCUAAACUAGGAUUCCCUUUCCUGACACUUAUAUAUAUAUAUGGUUGUGUGCAUUAUGGAUGGUUUUACUUAGUUUAUAAAUGUCAUUAUUUUAUCCUUAUCCUGAGUUCAUGCUAGUGAUUACUCGCUAACCCAUCUACUGGCAGCUAUAUACCCACGCUAUGCAAGAACCAGCCAUUCAACUCCUCCUAUUUAGCACUAUGAUUCAGUAUCAGCAUUUGGACUAAAGUGGUGAGCUUCCAUCCUUUUGAAAGGCUCAAUUUUAUGUUAUGGACAUAUUUAGAUACUUUUAGUCUAUUUUGUACAUUGGUUUUAGCCAUUGUUAGGGGGCAUGUCCCAACCGGAUAUUUUUACUCUUUUGUUUAGAGGUUUUAUGGUACUUAUGAGGGUUGGUAUAGGCGGGAUCGGUAUUGGUGUUAGCCUUGGCAUUGGAAUAGGCUGGUGGGAUGACACCAUGUUACAUAAUUUCUCACUAUUCCAUUGUAUUAUAUUGGGAUUGAUUAUCAUCUUAUGUGUUGCUAUUCUUUUUUGUUAUGCCUUUGGUUUGGUUUGGUAUGGUUGGAUGAUUGAUUUGGUAUGGUUAGACUUGGUUGGGUCAGUCACGGUUGUGACCCUAUUCUAGAGUCUUUGUGAGAGCAUUUAUGCUAUCUUGUUAUAUACUCAAAAUUCAGCCCAUCUAAGGUUGGAUAAGGUGGUUGGGUUGGGUAACAAAGGGCGGUCCCCGAUCCUGGUGGGACGUGGGAUACCCAUUACAUCUAGGUCCUGGUUUGGAUCGUGACAAUUCCCAUGUAACCCACAAGUAGUUUUAUUAAGUCAAACCAUUCCUUUAAACCAUUACAAACCAUGAAAGCCAUUUAGGGUUCCAUUACCAAGUUAAAAUCAUGUAUAAGUUCCAUUGAAAAACCAAUAACAAAGUCAAAACAGUGUUUAGGCAUUUUAUCAAACACAUUGGGGGCAUAGUAUUUCCAAAAUCAAUCCCAAUCACCAAUAACAAUUCCUAUGCAAUCCAAUUAUCUACAACCACUAUUAAAGCAUACGAAAAACAUAAUUAAAUCAUAGGAAAACCAUAACCAAGCAUUUAUAAAUAAAACCCCCAAAUCAUAUUUGAAAACCUAAAUCAUACAACAUUCAAACCAUGCAAGCAUUGUAUAAAACCAUGCCUUUAGUUAGAAAUAACAAUGAGGGAAAAGAGCAUGCCUUAAUUGAGAAGUUAUUUGAGAGAAACCGCCAAUAUAAGCCACAAAUUGAGCCUUAAGAUGAAACCCUAGUCUUCUUUUCCCAAGAACUUUAGAUAUGAUUUAAGAGUGUUUUCCUAAGUGUUUAAGAAUAGAAUAGUAGGGAAAAUAACCUUGCAAGGGCCAUAUAAGUCUUGGGACCUUAUUAAGAUAGGUGGUGAAAUGUUCAUAUUACCCUCACUUAAACUCCUAGAAAUCCUGUCAGGUGGGUACGACCAUAUAUACCAGUCGUAACCUACGAUAUGAGUGGUACCCACCACUAGUACCCAAGACCACCUACCUUGGGCCUAACACUGUCCAAGGUAUGACUUACCAAAAUACAAGUCGUAUCCGAGUUUAUGACUAGUACCCAUAAACCGUACCCCUAGAAGAAUAGAAUCCAGGAGGUUUGAACACUGACCUCUAUAUGAGUCCUGGGUACGUUUCGUACCCUGGAUUACAGCUCAUGGUAAGCCACUCCUACUCAGAUCAAACUUAAGUUACCAAGUCUAAAAUUAAGUGAAGUAACCAAACAACCUGUAUCUACUGGUAUGACUCAUACCAUCUAAGUCGUAUUCAUUCCAGAAAUCAAAUCCAUCCCAUCAACUAACACUGGUCAGCAUACGACUGGAACAUACCACCCGUACCCCAGUUACAACUCGUUACCCUAAGUCGUAUUAUCCCCAGAAACUAAAAAUCCAGGAAAUUUUCUAAGGUCUAGAAAUCAGGGUAUUUCAGUAGUAUGGGUAUCAUUAACUUUUGCUUAAUUCAUAGAUUCUAGAUUUGAAUGUUAUAGUUGAUUUUGAUGCCAUUCAAAAAGGGAAGGCUCCAUGUUGAAGGACUUUAGUCUUGGAUUUUGUUGUGUCGAGGUAGGUUAUGGCUUAACUUUCUUCAAACUGGGUUAGUACUUAAUGAAUAUGUAAAACAUGCUAUGGGUUGAUAAAAUAACUAUGGGAUGUGAUUUUUGAGCUAUCAUAUAUCGGGUGAUGCCCAUACGGGGGCAUAUUUUCUGUUAUUAUUGGCUUAUUAUAUUAUAUACUGUAUGUUUCCUGUGCGGAAGAGAGGGGCUUUAUUUGACAUCAUUAGCUUUAUUUAUGCAUUUUACUAUCUUAUUUCUAAAUGUGAUGUUCGUGCGGGGGCUUAAAUAGAUAUUAUAGUCCUUAUUGAGCAUUAUUUUUCUUAUCAUGAAAGAAAUGUCCAAGUUAUGGGUUGAUAUGAUAUUAAUGAUGUCGUACAUGCAUGUUUAUUACAAUAGUGCCCAACUAGAACUUAUAUCAUGGUUAUUAAUAUAUUGAGUUGAUUUCUGAGCUCACUUGUAUACAUAUUGAACAGAUUAGAUAUUUUCAUUCUAUUACGACCCAAACACAAGGUCAUGAUGGAACUUAUCACGGUUCAAACUUGGUAAGUAAGUCGAUCACUCUUACUGAUAAAGGAAAUAUGAAAAAUAAUAAGGUGAGACUUCCAAAAUUAAUUCAAACCAACACAAAACAUAAACGAAAUAGAAAUUUGAAUAACAUGAAACCCCAAGGAGUGGUGUCAAAGUGUAGGGCAUCUAAUACAUCAUUUGAAUACAAGUAAAAUACAAAGUCUGUCUUCAAAAACAAGUAAAGACAUAACAAGGUAUGAAGAGGUCCAAAAGUUAACUCUAAUCCCUAGAGAAACCUUGUACCUUAAUCGCAAUUCUAGAUAAGCGUGAAUCAGCUGCCACGGAAAGUGCUCAUACUAGGACCUGAAACGAAAGGACAUAGUAGGAGUGAGUACGUCUAGCUGUACCUAAUAGGUACCAUAGGCCAAUUGAGCAAAGCAAAAAAUUAGAUAACUAAAAUAUACUAUGAGCACGUCACUUACAAGUAGAAAAGUCUUAAAUGGUAGCUCACACUGUCUCCUCUAAUAGUUCAAUUGUAUAUAAGUACAUAGAAAUAGCAAAAACAUAGGUAUAAAGGAAAAAUAUGUAGAAAACAACACAAGUCAAUGAAACUAAGAAAAACAAGAAAGAUAGAUAUAUAAAUGAAAUGCAAUGCAAUGUGGAUGAGAUGAAUGAUGAAAACCAUUGCAUGACUUUCCAUACACACCGACCGAUCGAGCUCAUAGGUACUAGGUAGGACCAUGGGGGUUCGCAACCUACAUACUAAAAAUCAUAUCUCAAGAUAACCUUGCCAACAAAUGACUUCAACCAAGGGUUUUCAAAAUAUCAUAACUAUCCUUACCGACAAGUGACCUUGGCCAAUGAUUUUCAAAAGUGAGUCAUUUUGUUUCAAAACAGUCUUUCUCAAUGGUACCUGUAUCUCAUGAAUGUAUAUGUAUGGAAUGAAGAUGUGAUGCUUACAAUCAACUAAAUAUGAUGACAUUCAAUCUAUCCAACACGUAAAUACAUACAUGUGAGCCCAGAAUCAACUCAAUAUGUCCAAAACUUAUGAUAUCAACUCUAAAUAGGCAUCAUUGGAAUAAAUAUGCACGCAAGACAUCAUUAAUAUCAUAUCGACCCCUAACACGAGUGUUGUUUAUCAUAAAAUAAACAAUCAAUGCUCAAUUAAGCCUCAUAUUAGCAAACUAAGCCUCCGCACAAGCAUUAUAUUUAGAAUAAAGGCAUUUUGAUGUACGGAUAGGCCAAUGAUGUCUAAUAAAGCUUCAUAUGGGCAACACACAAUACCAUAUAUCAUAUAUCACAAAUUAACCACCAAAAAUUAUAAGCCCCCAUAUGGGCACACAACAGUAUAAAUAAUUUUUAUAUAUAAAUUCUAUAGUUAUUUUCCCCAACCCGUAGGAUUCUUUACUUAUUCAUUAACUACCUAACUCAAUUGAAAGAACUUAAGUAAUAACCUACCUCAAAACGAUAAAAUCCCAGUAUAAAGUUCUUCAGCACGAAUCCUUUUCCUAGUGAACGACCUUAGAAUCAACUAUAACAUUCAAAUAUAGCAUUUACACAUUAAAAUAAAGCUAAUGAUACCCAUAUUACCCAUAUGUGAGUUGGAGCCAAAACAGGUUCGAAAAUAAUGUUCAAAAAUAAAAAAUGUAAAACUGAAAUUUUUUUAAAAACAAAUUCCCUAAUGUUAUAGGAUUCUAUAAAGAGAAAACCUGUGCAAAAUGGGUUUAAAAUGGGGCCCAUACCAAGAAAAAUUUCUUUUUAAACUUUACCAGUAAAAACUCUAAUUUAUCACUUUAAAAUCAUGAUUUAAAGGUGUUUUUGAAGAUAUAAUCAAUAGAGAAUAGUGGGAUUAUGAGAUUAAAAGUUACCCACACGAAAUUAAACCUUGAAAACCCUCAAAAAUCUCUUUUCCCGAAGCUUGGAGGUCUACAAAUGGAAUAAAAUUACAAAAAUUUAGUAUUUAUACUGUUUCGUAAAUAGUACCUCGCGGUAGCAAAGGGUAAAGUUGACCAGCCAUAAAAUUGGCCUUUGCAUUUGUGUCCAAGGCUUUGAAUCCUAGAAGGCUGAUGAAUCAAGACUUUAUGUUCAUGACAGACUUAUCACAUUAACGGAGUAGAACUCUAUUGGACUUCACGAUCGCGUCCAUCACCUCGUGAUCACGGUGAUAGGUGAUUUCCUUCACUAUGUUUGUAGCCUAGAACCGCAUUCACGAAUACAGAUUCAUGUACCAGAUAUCAACUGUGCACCAUAUAUCUUUGCAUGUGUUGAAUUCUCCGAAUGGACCCUUAGAAUUCACCCAGAACCUAAUAGAAGUAAAUCAUAUAUACUACUAGGCUAAUUUCAACAUCUUGGACUCAAUGGCUACGUCGAUUUUUUGAAAAGUUUUGUUUUCACCAAAUUAACCCCGGGGACAUCUUUAUACUAUUUUCCAAACAAAGGGUUAAAAUGAAAUAUAAUGGCUUCAAAACUGCACCAACCCUGCUACUAACCCAAAUUUAACAUUCUAGAUCUAUUGGCAUAGUUAGUUUUACCAUCCAGCACUCACGACAACAAAUGUUGAAAAAAGUUACUAUAUAUAUCUCAAGCCUCUAAAAAUCAUAAACUCGCCUAAAUUGUUUCUGUUCACAUCGAGAAUUGUGCCAAUAAUUCUCAAACCUCAAAAUCAGUAUGUAGCAACUACGAAGAAGGAAAAAAUGGUCAAAACAUAUAGAAAUGAAAGACCCAUACAUUCAGGUCAUUAUAAUAUCCACUACUAAAACUCCAGUUCAUCCUUGAACUAAAAGGCAAAGAAAUACCUGAAUUGGUAAAAAGAUGGGGGUAAAUACUAUGUAUGUCGAACUCGACCUACCAAGUGGCCUCCUCAAUUGAAUGGUGUCUCCACUGAACAUUAAGCACAGGAAGAUCGCUAGAAUACAAUUGUCUUACAUCUCUAGCUAAAAUGGACACUAGCUCUUCAAUGAUAGUCAGCUUUUUAUCCAACUGAAAGAUACGCUAGUGAAGCACAUACAACUCAUUUAGAAUAUAGCAGCAUAGUAUAGACACAUGGAAAACUAGAUAAACAAAUGAAAAAUUUAGAGGUAAUUCUAACCCAUAAUAAACCUACCCAACUAUACAAAAAAUCUCAAAUGGUCCAACAUACCUGGGCUACGCUUUCCCCUCUUACAAACUUCAUUAUGCUAUUCAUGAGAGACACACAAAGAAAGACCCGAUCACUAAUCCCAAACUUUUAGGUACAUAGCAUAUGGUCUGUAUAACUCUUUUGUCUACUCUGAUCCACUCAUGGCCUGUCUUGAAUCAUUUGAACUCUAUCCCAAGACUCGCGAAGCACGUCAGUACUAUGAGGUAUAACCUCCAAAGUCUUACACCAACCAAUAAAAGAUCAACAACGUCUACAAUACCUCGUAAGGUGCCAUCUUAAUACUAGAAUAGUAGCUGUAAUUAUAAGUAAACUCUGCCAAAGCUAAAUAUUAUUCCCACUGGCCUCUGAAGUCCAUAACACACACAGAGCAUAUCCUUCAAAAUCUAAAUAGUCCACUCUAGCUAACUAUUACUUUGGGAGUAGAAGGUUGUACUAAGGUCAACCCGAGUUUCAAAUUCCUCCUGAAAGGUCUUCCAAAAGAUAAAAGUGAACACUGAGCCUCUAUCUGAAAUAAUAAACAUGAGUAUCCACAAAGAUGAACUUUUUCAUGAAAAUUGAUACAAUCUAACUUCUUAAUAUUGGAUAUGAUCUGAAUAGGGAUGAAAAAGGUUGAUUUGGUCAACUGAUCCACGAUGAAUCAAAUAUUGUCAAAAUUAUGAGAAGUGCAAGGCAAACCGGUCAUGAAGUCCAUAGUGAUCUGCACGUACUUCCGCUCAAUAAUGGGUAGUCUCUGAAGUAAACCACCCAAUAUCUGGGUCUCGACCUUUACCUGUUGACAACAUAAGCAACAAGCUAUAAAAUCUACCAUAUCCUUCUUCAUACCACUCCACUAAUAAUGCUAUUAUAAAUCAUAAUACAUCUUGGUCAUAUCCGAAUGGAUAGAAUAUCUAGAAUAAUAAGUCUUCUCCAAAAUUAAUCUCACCCAAUCUCUAACUCUCGACACAUAGACCAGACACUAAUCCUUAACACACCAUCAAAAUUAAGAGAGGCUUUCUUAGACUCUUCACUCAAUGCAUUAAACCAAAUCACCCUCAAACAACCAUCAUCAAACUGGUGAGCUUAAAUCUAUUCAAUUAGGAAGAUCUAACAUUAACAUAGGCUAAAAUAUGCCUUAGUGUCGAAAUAUCAUGCCUAACAAUUUGGAUAGAUAAGGAAUAAGCCUCCAAGGCUGAAAUAGCUUUUAGGUCAAGAGAUGAGAUAGACUCUUCAUACCAGUCAACUUUUGACUCAAGGAAUCUACAAUUACAUUAGCCUUGCUCGGAUGAUACAUAAUAAUGUCAUAAUCCUUAAGCAACUCAAGACAAUGCCACUGCCUUAUAUUAAGAUUUUUGCAGUCUAAAAAAGUACUUAAAACUACAUUAGUCCAAAAAAAUCUCACAAGUGACUCCAUACAAGUAAUAAUACCAUAACUUCAAUGGAAACACUACGACUAUCAACUCUAAAUCAUGGGUACAGUAAUUCCUCGAUGAGGCUUUACUGAUGAGAAGCAUAAGUAAUCACCUUACCCUCAUGCAUCAAUACCAUACCCAAACCAACACUAGAAGCAUCACAAAAUAUUAUAAAACCCACACUCUCCUUGGGCAAAAUUAAGAUAGAGGUUGAAGUCAACAAUUCCUUGAUCUUUUAAAAGAUCUUCUCACACGUAUCCGACCACUGAAAAACAAUUUUUUCUAAGUCAACUUGGUCAAAGGAUCUUGUAAUACACGUGCUUUUUCUUAGCUUAAAAAUCAUCUCAAGAAUGUUAGAACUUAUUUUGAAAUAAGAAUUCAUUCUUAUACACGUGGUAUUUCCAUAAUUUUCACUUCCUAUUACGUGGAAAAUUGAAUAAUCUUUCCAUCGACAUAUAAUUUGGCCAAAUUCAACACCCGGGCAAAGAGUUAGGUCCUUUUUAGUGAGACAAUGUUUGACCUGAGCCUUCAGCGUGUCGCGGAGAUAACUCAAAUGGAAAUUGUCAAUUUCCAGUGUUUCUCCAUGAUACUAGCACAUAGUCUCAAACUUUUAGGUCGUAGAUAAGGUGGAAAUGCGAUAGCUACGCAUCGCGCCACCAUGCAGUUUCCUAUUUGUCUAUUUCCAGUGACACAGUUCGAUAAUGCCGCGUCGCACCAAGGGCCCAAUUCGGGAAAUUUUACUGAAAAUUAAAUUACGUGUCCAUGGUUAAAAGGGCCAAUUUCCCCCCUAUAUAAGCUUCCAAACAUGGGAUUUAGCCCUUAUUCAUCUUAAAUAUUGAUGUUUUUCUCAAAUACUCUCAAGAACUCAAGCUAGUGUUUUCAUAGAAGGUCCAAUUUCAAGAAGGUUUCACCAUCAAUCAUCACAAAAUCAUGAAUUAAGGUAUGCAUAGUGUUCAUUCAUGGGCUCCUUUUGUCUAUUAAGUCCAUGAAUCCCUUCUAAACUACAGGUUAUGGAUUUUCUUCAUGUGUAUACGCUUUGUAUGUUCUCUUUCAUGUUGAUAAAUGAGGAAUUUCAUGUUGGUGUAUAAUGUGCAUUACAUGUACUAUGCCUACAAUAUGUUUGAUUAAAUGCCUAGAUGAAGAAAAAUUGUCUAACUAACAUGAUAUCAUGAAAUCCCCAUGUAUGUAAUUAUUCCUAUUAGACAUUUGACGAAAUAAUUCAAUACACGCAUUGUGGUGAUUAUCAUGUAUUCAAGAAUAUCAAGUCAUGUUAUUUUUCUUCCAUCGAGUCCUGGGGGUACUUAUACCCAAAAUAUUAGCUGUGUGCCUAGAUCCAUGUCAUGUUUUCAUGAUACUCUCAGUCAAGCUAUGACUUCUUUGACUUCAGAUAGUCUUAUGACUUCGAAAAAAUCUACAUGAUCUCAUGACUCAAUCAGUUGUCAGAUAUCAGCAGUAUUUCAUCAACCGUAGAAAUUUAGCAACUCAGUCCAUGCUUAGUUCAGUUCAGUAAAUCAUGUUCAGUGCCUAUUUAGAUGGGAGUAGGAAUUAGCAUUGAGUGAACCCAAGGAUGGGGACUCAACUAUUAUAAGAGGGUGUGAUUCAUAGAAGCAAUCCUUGUAUUCCAAAACUAUAUAGCCAGCAUAGGUUGAAGUAUCAUAGCCUACUAUAUGAGGGUAGAUGAGGUGGCUUAGCCUGUUAUGUGAGGGUUCCCACCAUUCUCUUAGAGUUACUUUUUAUAUGAGGGUUACCACAUGUUAUCCUUAUUAGUGGUGCGGUAUUAACACCCUUCCAAUAAGGUAUAGAUUGGACCCCAGCUCAGCUAUCACAGUACCUUUGGGGCAUGUCGGUUAAAUACUACUUCCUACAGUUUCAUGUUACAAAAUUAGGACUGUCAGAUACCGUCAAUUAGUCUUAGUAAUAGAACUCUGAUAGUUCUUUAAAUUUCAGGACUGUCAGAUACAGUCAACUCAACCACAUUAAACUCAGACAUAUUACGGAACUCAGAUAGUUCCAUCAGAUUCAGGACUGUUAGCUACAGUCACCCAUGUUAUCAGCAUUACUCAGAUACAAUAAUUUAUGUUAUCAUCCAUGUCAUGUUAUCAAUAUUCAAAUUUAGUAAUCACGAUAGUAUGUUGUUAGUUACAGUUAUGUAAUUAUGCAUGUAUUCUCACAUUCAUGUUAGAAAGUCAGUUAGCAUUAUUCAUGCAUGUGAACCAUUACAUAUAGCCUACCUCACAUGUAUAUUCGGUACAUAUGUACUAACACAUUCGCGCUAUGAUGCUUUUUUUUAUGUUACACCAUAGGUUCAGAGACAUGAUUUCCUGAUUAGCAGUAGAUUCCAGUUUUCAGCAGUCAGACUAGAAGUAAGUCCUCAUCCUUUGAGGAUAUGAUUAUUUUUUCUUAUUUUCUCAUUAGUCAUUUUAUUAGAUGGGGUUAGUUGGGGACAUGUUCCAUCAGCUCCUUAUUUAGAUUCUUCAGAUAAUAGAGGCUUUCAGACUAGAUGCAGACUAGAUACAGACUAUCAUAUUCAGACUUUAGUAUUUUUAGUUUUUUUUUGGGUAUUUUAUUACCCCAUACAGAUGUUACAUUAUUCAUUUAUGUUCAUG